GUGACGCCCCAACUUCCCAGGGGUCACCCAUCCUAGGACUACUCCCGUCCUAGCACGCUUAACUCUCUUAACCUCUUGGGCCUUGUCACCAUCCAAAAUGCUUAAGCCGGGUUAAGAGUUUAGCCCUAUUAUAUCUCAUAUAUAGGACUAUCUGGGGUCUCACAAUCUCCCCUCCUUUAAGCCCUGACGUCCUCGUCAGGCUCAGACUCACAAAUACCAGGCGAUGUGAGACUCAUCUCGCUAGCCCGUCAUCCAGACCCUGGCUCAGCCGAGACUCAUCUCACACUUCAGGCUGGUAAUUGGCUCUGAUACCAUCUGUAACGCCCUGACUUCCCAGGGGGUCACCCAUCCUAGGACUACUCCCGUCCUAGCACGCUUAACUCUCUUAACCUCUUAGGUCUAGCCACCACCCAAAAUGCUUAAGGCCCAAGAGGUUAAUAGAGUUAAGCGUGCUAGGACGGGAGUAGUCCUAGGAUGGGUGACCCCCUGGGAAGUUGGGGCGUCACACUUUGGGCCCUGAUAUUCUGUUGGAAGCAAAGAAAAAGGUCAGAGUUGUGCGACGACACAUUGAGACUGCCCGAGUCGAUAGAGAAGUUAUGCUGAUACCCGAAGACGAGACUUGGAGUUUCAGGUGGGUGACUAUGUUUUUCUGAAAGUCUCGCCGUCCAGAGGGAUUGUAAUACACUGAAUUUUUGCAAAUUGUGAAAUUCGAGUGCGAGGAAUGAUGUGUGGAACUCUUCUACAUGUUCUAUAGGACUUGGACAAGUUUUUGAAUAAGUUAAAGAGUGCUUGGAAGGCUAGNGAGUCGGAGUCGUUUUGGCGCGAAAUAGACACAGAAACAGACUCGGAGUUGUGAGAGUUGGAGUUUGGACACUGAAAUCUACAAAAGUAGGAUUUUGAGUGUUGUGUACUGGUACUUGAGAGGAGUACCGGUACCCCAGAGGGAUUACCUGAAUGGUUGCUCUCAGGUUUGUGCAGUUUGGUGUUGCGUAUCGGUACCUAUUGGUGAGUACCGGUACUGGGACUGGGUAUCUAUAUUGCAUCGGGCCAGUACCGGUACAACGUCACUGUCUGAGUGCUGGAUACCGGUACCCGAAUUGAGUACCGGUACUGAGUCGGCAGGUUUGAGUUGGUAAGGGGUCUUUUGGUCAUUUCGUCGUGGCAUUUAGUCCAACCGACCCCAGCUCGUAUAUAUGUGUAGGAAGCUUGGAGAACGCGGUUAGCUUCUCCUCCUUUUUUCUCUCUCUAGCUAAUUGGAACUCGAUCUUGGUUUUAUUCUUCUGGUUUUGGAGGACUGCUCGUGCACCGUGGGUUGCUUCCGGUUGAGGUUGUUCCGGCACGGGGUUUCUUCGAUCAACUUCUGGCCGGUGUUGGACGAGCAUUUGAGGUAGGUUAAUGUUUACCGAAAUCGUCGGAAUUCCCCCUAAGUCGUAGAGUUGUCAGUAUGCAUUUUCUUGUUUUGUUUAGUAGCUCGAAUUCAUAGAUUUGCAUGGUUUUUAUGAAAUUUGAAUUUGGAGCAUAAGCUACUGAUGUUAGAUAAAUCUUAUAUGCUGAACUGGAAUUUGACUUAGGAGAAAACUCGAUAAACCUACACCUGCUAUUUUUUUCGAAAAGUUAACAAAAUUAGCUUCAGGAGCUAUUUUCCUUUUGUAUCACCGCUGUUAGCACGUCGUGGAUACCUAGAUUAGUGUAGGUUGAGUUUACGCUCGUGCUGAGGGGCUGAGCUCUUUUUUACAGCAGAGUUAGGUUGUUUUAUACUGUCGGGUACCGUCGAGGCUGACAGUGGACCUUGAUGUUUACAUUUUGUAUCAGAUUGUACCGAGGCACGUAAGCUUUGGUUGUUAGACCAGUUUGACCCAUUUGCAUGGACUAUAGCCUAUGUGAGCCUGAUUGAGCUCGACAGAGACUGUUCAGUCUUGUGUGUUGGCAAGUUUCGUGAAGUGAGUAGGAGUCUUGAAGGAUCGGUGCGUAUCGUCGAAGAUCGAAGAAUCCAAGACUUCGAAGAGAUUGGAAAAUAACUCACGACGUGAAUCACGAUGCUCAGGUAAAGUUUUAAUUCAUGUUUUGGUGAUUCAUACUUAAUUAUAGACAUUAGAAUUAUAUAAUCAAAGUUUAGUGGAUUAGAAAGUGUAUUGGAACUUUGCGAAACCUGAAACGUGAAAAAAAUCUGAAUACACUAUGUACGGGUACACACUGAAAGUGUUACUGGUUACAAACUGUGUACGGGUACAACCAUCAACGUGUUACCGGUUACAAACUGUGUACGGGUACAACCAUCAACAUGUUACCGGUUACAAGGCUGUUUUGAUUUUCUGUUCCGUCAUCGUGUACCGAUGACAGCCUCACGUGUACCGGUACAUAAUGCAAAUUUCGGGAAAAACUUUCUAAUCCGACUCCAAUUGAUUCUAAAGUCUAUAAAUAAGCUAUUGGGGUUCUCUAACAUAUCAAGCAUCACGAAAAUACAUGUUUGAGAAACCCUAGAGGCUCGGAUUUCAUCUUAAACCUAUUUUCUACAUAUUAGCCUCUUUUAGGUCAAAUCGAGAUAUUGGAAUUUCAUAUCUAUAUGUCGAUUUGAUCUUCGCUUCGCUUGUUGUUCUCUUCCCUGGUUUUCAUCGAUACUCUAAGCGAAGGAUCACCAUACACAUGAUGUUCUUCAUGACGGCGUCGUGGAUUCGGCGUGAUUGACGGCGGUUCNNNNNNNNNNNNNNNNNNNNNNNNNNNNNNNNNNNNNNNNNNNNNNNNNNNNNNNNNNNNNNNNNNNNNNNNNNNNNNNNNNNNNNNNNNNNNNNNNNNNNNNNNNNNNNNNNNNNNNNNNNNNNNNNNNNNNNNNNNNNNNNNNNNNNNNNNNNNNNNNNNNNNNNNNNNNNNNNNNNNNNNNNNNNNNNNNNNNNNNNNNNNNNNNNNNNNNNNNNNNNNNNNNNNNNNNNNNNNNNNNNNNNNNNNNNNNNNNNNNNNNNNNNNNNNNNNNNNNNNNNNNNNNNNNNNNNNNNNNNNNNNNNNNNNNNNNNNNNNNNNNNNNNNNNNNNNNNNNNNNNNNNNNNNNNNNNNNNNNNNNNNNNNNNNNNNNNNNNNNNNNNNNNNNNNNNNNNNNNNNNNNNNNNNNNNNNNNNNNNNNNNNNNNNNNNNNNNNNNNNNNNNNNNNNNNNNNNNNNNNNNNNNNNNNNNNNNNNNNNNNNNNNNNNNNNNNNNNNNNNNNNNNNNNNNNNNNNNNNNNNNNNNNNNNNNNNNNNNNNNNNNNNNNNNNNNNNNNNNNNNNNNNNNNNNNNNNNNNNNNNNNNNNNNNNNNNNNNNNNNNNNNNNNNNNNNNNNNNNNNNNNNNNNNNNNNNNNNNNNNNNNNNNNNNNNNNNNNNNNNNNNNNNNNNNNNNNNNNNNNNNNNNNNNNNNNNNNNNNNNNNNNNNNNNNNNNNNNNNNNNNNNNNNNNNNNNNNNNNNNNNNNNNNNNNNNNNNNNNNNNNNNNNNNNNNNNNNNNNNNNNNNNNNNNNNNNNNNNNNNNNNNNNNNNNNNNNNNNNNNNNNNNNNNNNNNNNNNNNNNNNNNNNNNNNNNNNNNNNNNNNNNNNNNNNNNNNNNNNNNNNNNNNNNNNNNNNNNNNNNNNNNNNNNNNNNNNNNNNNNNNNNNNNNNNNNNNNNNNNNNNNNNNNNNNNNNNNNNNNNNNNNNNNNNNNNNNNNNNNNNNNNNNNNNNNNNNNNNNNNNNNNNNNNNNNNNNNNNNNNNNNNNNNNNNNNNNNNNNNNNNNNNNNNNNNNNNNNNNNNNNNNNNNNNNNNNNNNNNNNNNNNNNNNNNNNNNNNNNNNNNNNNNNNNNNNNNNNNNNNNNNNNNNNNNNNNNNNNNNNNNNNNNNNNNNNNNNNNNNNNNNNNNNNNNNNNNNNNNNNNNNNNNNNNNNNNNNNNNNNNNNNNNNNNNNNNNNNNNNNNNNNNNNNNNNNNNNNNNNNNNNNNNNNNNNNNNNNNNNNNNNNNNNNNNNNNNNNNNNNNNNNNNNNNNNNNNNNNNNNNNNNNNNNNNNNNNNNNNNNNNNNNNNNNNNNNNNNNNNNNNNNNNNNNNNNNNNNNNNNNNNNNNNNNNNNNNNNNNNNNNNNNNNNNNNNNNNNNNNNNNNNNNNNNNNNNNNNNNNNNNNNNNNNNNNNGACAAGGCUUCAUCUUCGAAGCAUAAAUCUUUUUCUAAACAAUCUUCAAGUUCUAAAUCUAAGGAUAAAAAACUUGCAAAGUCUUCGAAAGAAAAAGAUGAAUUUGAAGGCGAAAUUCAAUGCUACAAAUGUAAAGACUACGGUCAUAUUGCAAUGGAUUGUCCUUCAAAGAAGUCUUAUAAGCAAAAGGCUUUGCAAGCUAAGACUUGGGAUGAUUCUUCUUCUAGUGAAUCAUCUUCAAGUGACGAAGAAAAGAGUGAUCACAUUGCUUUAUUUACUAACACUUCUCUACCUUCGUCUAACGUUGUUUGUUUAUCCUCAAUUGUUUCUAAUUCCAAUGUUUCUCUCUUCGCAUGGGUCUUCGAGUGACAAUGGCGAAAGCGAGGAGGAGUCGAACGACGAGGAUAUAGCGGAAGCAUACAAUCAACUUCUUAUUGAUUUGAAAAAGAUGACCAAGCUCAAUAAGAAGUUGAGGCGUCGUUUAUUAGACAUUGAAGAGGAAAACAAAAAUUUGAAGACAAUGAAUAAAGCUCUUGAGGAGGAAAAGGAAUCGAUUUCUAAGAAUAACUUAAUCCUCCAAGAGAAACUUGAUGAAGCGGAAUCAACAAUCAAAUCGUAUAAAGACAAGGUUGGAUUUUUGGAGCAACAAUUCGAGGAAUCGCAUACAUUCAACAAGUUAUUGACCAAUCAAGUUCGUCAACUUCAAUCCGACGUACAAAAAUUCUCUUCCGGUUCAAAGAAAUUAGAUCAUAUGCUCGGAUUAGGUUAAACGAACAAGUUGGGUCUCGGCUAUGAACGAACGUACGUUGAGAAGGAUUUAACGACAACUACUAAAGUCUCAACAACUUUGAAAGAGAAGGUGUGUCAUAAAUGUGGCAUCAAAGGACACAUCAAAAGGAGUUGCCCGAACAAGACAAAGAAGAAUCAAUUGGCAACUUCGCAACGUCAAUCGGCAUCAUCUACAACUCAGCUUCCCCCACGGAAUCAAAAGAAAAAUCAGUUGAGUCGAGCACCUUGAGGGAAUCGGAUUUCUAAUGCACAACAUCAAGUCCAACAAAACCCUCAAGCAAAUCGGAUUUGUAGCGCACAACGUCAACGCCAAGUUCAUGCAAACCGGGUGUCUAAGCUUCAACGACAAGUUCAACCGAAGCCUCAAGCGACGAAACGACCAACGGUUGAUCAAAAAUCAAAGCAAAUUGUGCUUAACGUCGACAAGACAAGACAACACAAAAUCCAACAAGUUUGGAUUCGGAAAGGUGAUAUCUUUCCUUGUUCUACGUCUUAUUCGUUUUUGAUUUUUUUGUAAAUGCUUUGAUUGGUGCUUGAAUUUUAUUUAUUUUUGAGGAAAGGUGUUUGGGAAUUUAAAAUGUUUCUUUGAGGAAGGAGACGAUUGAAAAUCUUUAUUUUGGGGAGAUUAGAAUUUUUCAAAGUGUUUUUAACCGGAAUUCAUCUUGAAUUAAAUUCAUAUUAAUUAUCGGUUUUACUCCACUAUUUAUUAUUUUGACGAUAAUUGAUUAUAUGAAUUCUUAAUACAUAUAUUCAACAAAAUUUUCAAAUCAUUUUGAUCUUUUGGUGAUUAAUUCAUCUUGGUUGUGUGUGUUGGAUAUGAUGGAUGGAUAUUCACUAAUCGACUAAAUUUUUGUCAAAAUUACUUUCAACUGUGAGAUUGUCUAAUUUAGGGAGAGUUUUUUUUUUUAAUUAUUUUUUUAAAAAAAGAAAAUGAUACUCCUACGUUUAAAAGAUGUGGAAAGAGUUAUAUCCUAAAAAGAGUGUGAAAACUACCACCACAUGUAGGAAAGAGCUGCCACCCCGGUCGUCCGGUAAGUGUGUGAAGCUAUCACAUGGAAUUUAAUUGAAAAACAGAAAAGGUUGAAAAAAUUGAAUAUUUUAGAAUUUUCUGUGUUAUAAGGUGUUAGUUUGAAAAAGAUGCUCAAAGAGCCACCUCCGGUAUCAUAUUAGUUAAAUCUCUAUUUUGAACGUGUUGCGACAAAUUGAGGUCAAUUUGUUUGAAUUUCUAAAAAUCAAUUUUUCGUGAACCAUUACAUCUUGAUGAUUUUGAAACAUUAGGUUAUUUCUGAUAACAAAAUUUUGAUGUUUCGAUGUAUUUUGAAAUCUUAUAAUAUUUUACCUUCAUUAUAAUGAUUUUUGGAGUAAAAUCCUUAAUUUGUAUGAAAUUAAUUUAAGUUUGAAGAUUUUUUGAUGGAAAAUUUUCAAAAUUUUUUGAAUUCUGAGAACUGUUAACCGGUUCAUUCGUUUGUUUCUCUCCCAAAUCCGAAAUCAAAUCGCUCUCUUUCUCUCUCUAAAAAUUCCUAUAUAUUUUCUAGUAUGUUUUCUAGUGUGUUUUCUCUCUAUAUGCUCUGUUUUGGCAAUUUUUGACAAAAACAGGGAGAAUAUAGAUGUACAAGUAUUGAUCAAAAGAGGGAGAGAAAAUUGAAGAACAAAGGGGGAGAAGAGGAGAAGAAAAGAACUUCGAGGACAUUAACAUUGAAGGUAUAAGAAUGACUAAUAUUUUGUUUUUCUACUUUGUUUUUGGAUAAAUUGUUUUGCAGGAAAUCAAGACCUCAAGACUCCUAGUUGCGUCUAAAUCAUAGAGUCUGUUUUAGGAGUUUUGAUGUACUUUUGUGUUUUAUAUUGUAUUUGGAUCACAUGCGAGGGGUUCAAUAUUUUGGUGAUGACAAUUGAACUUCGUUUUUCUUUAAGAUAUAAUUUUUGAGUAGUUGUGAGUUUUGUCACGAAAUUGCCAAAGGGGGAGAUUGUUAAGUCUUGUAUGUUGGCAAGUUUCGUGAAGGGAGUCGGAGUCUUGAAGGAUCGGUGCGUAUCGUCGAAGAUCGAAGAAUCUAAGACUUCGAAGAGAUUGGAAAAUAACUCAAGACAUGAAUCACGAUGCUCAGGUAAAGUUUUAAUUCAUGUUAUGGUGAUUCAUACUUAAUUAUAGGCAUUAGAAUCAUAUAAUCAAAGUUUAGUGGAUUAGAAAGUGUCUUGGAACUUUGCGAAACCCGAAACGUGAAAAAAAUUUGAAAACUACACUGUGUACGGGUACACACUGAAAGUGUUACCGGUUACAAACUGUGUGCGGGUACAACCAUCAACGUGUUACCGGUUACAAACUGUGUACGGAUACAACCAUCAACAUGUUACCGGUUACAAGGCUAUUUUCAUUUUCUGUUCCGUCAUCGUGUAUCGUUGACAGCCUCACGUGUACCGGUACAUAAUGCAAAUUUCGGGAAAAACUUUCUAAUUCGACUCCAAUUGAUUCUAAAGUCUAUAAAUAAGCUAUUGGGGUUAUCUAACAUAUCAAGCAUCACGAAAAUACAUGUUUGAGAAACCCUAGAGGCUCGGAUUUCAUCUAAAACCUAUUUUCUACAUAUCAGCCUCUUUUAGGUCAAAUCGAGAUAUUGGAAUUUCAUAUCUAUAUGUCGAUUUGAUCUUCGCUUCGCUUGGAGUUCUCUUCCCUGGUUUUCAUCGAUACUCUAAGCGAAGGAUCACCAUACACAUGAUGUUCUUCAUGACGGCGUCGUCGAUUCGGCGUGAUUGACGGCGGUUCGUGCAUUCGGAUCGUGAGCUUCGUGGAUUCGAAGUGGAGGCGUUUCGUGGAUUCGGAACGUGGGGUUCGUGGAUUCGAACGUGAGGGCGUGGACAACCCGGAGGAUUGCGCAAGAUUCAUAGGAGGUUAAGAGAGGUUCAGUCCGUGGAGUCGGUAAUCACCUUGUAAUCUUUUCUCUUAGUGAAUUAUUUUUUCGCGUGUUGGUCCCGUGGGUUUUUUACUCCAAGUUGGAGUUUUCCCACGUAAAUCUCGGUGUGAUUUUUAUUUUCUGCAUUUAUUUUUAUCGUAUUGAGAUUUGUGGUUUUUGUCUUUUACACCUAUUCACCCCCCCCUCUAGGUGUUAGAUACAAUCUAGAUAGAUCCUUGGGCUUCUCAAAACUUUCAGAGACACGCUUGCAUAUUCGAUUGGGUCGCUCCCACGAGUGCCACUCCGGAGUGAGGCUUUAUGUCACGCCCCGCGACUGCCAAUUUGGUCGGUUCGGGCAUGUCAUCAGACGUCGGACGGAUAGCACCUCCCCUGUCCGCCCAAGGCUCUACCAACGCAUGUAUAACAUAGCAAUUCAAACAAAAAGAUUGCAAGUAUACACGACUUGCACGAGGGCAAGCAACAACCACACGAGUGAAAGUAAUCUAACUAUUACAAUCAUACAUUGUAACUUGAUCAUUUUGAAUCAAAUACAAAGCUUAUACAUUUCCUUUACAUCCAUUCAACCAAUAUACAUAUUCAUCUCUCAAAUGAAUUAAUUACAUUUCGUACACAUUUUACAUUCAUCGACAUAAUAGAUGAAAUAUACAUAGGGUGCCUCUAUACACAAUGGUAGUACGCUACCUAGAGCACGAUAAUCAUGUCACGAGCCAUGAUCGCCCUGCUCGCACUAGAACCUGCAUGGUUAGUGGGAUGAGAACUACAACAAAGUUUCCAGUGGGUUCAGCCGCCGACCCCGCCGACUCGCCCACUAGGUCUACUCAGGCAUAUGUAAGAAAAGGAUAGAUAGAUUGCAAACCAACUAAUGCGAAGCUAUUACAAUGCCUGAACAAUAAUAAAUCCAACAAGUAAGAUAAUCAUAAUGACAAUGCAUGCAUGCUUUUCCACAUUCACUUUUCUUGGCUUUUAUCCAAUCAACCCGGUUAACACUUGUUAACCCCAAAACUCACAACCCAAAAUCCCUAUCGAUCGAGGGAACUUUACCACGCCCGAGGAAACUUUACCACGCCCGAGGGACAGUCUUCUGGGAGGACUUUACCUCGACCAGUGGUGACCAACUCUGAAGCGCACCGCUCGAGCGGGAGCUACCUCCUUCAAGCCAAGACUCAAUGUGAGUAUCAAUCCAAUCCUCAAUUUGAGGACGUAUAGCCACACUUGCUAUAUUGCCAUAAUGCAUAAAAGGAUUUUACCUUGUCUAGUAUGUCACAUACUUGGCCACACUUGCCACAAUACUCACUAUUGUUAUAGUUCAACAUUUAUCAAUGCCCAUAAUGUUUACUAACAUUAUAAUCCAACAUCUCACAAUGCUCUUAAGGUUUUACCUUAUCCAGCAUACCACAUAUUUCAUAUCUACUAAUGUCAAUAUUACCUUUGUUUACUACAGUCAUAGUCCACAUUCAUUUCAUACAUUCAUAGGGUUCACAUGCAUGGUCCACUAAUCAAUUCAUACGUUCACCAACAUUGAAAGCAUAUACAUGAUUUCCAACCAUAGCCCAAUACCCUACAAUGCAGGAAUGUCAUAACACACAUAUAUGCUCAAGAAAAGGCAACAAAGACAUAGAAGAAAAUUCAACGAUUCCGGAUAGCACCCCCACAUGUAGUGAUGCUAGAAGACCACGACUCAAGUCCCGCAAUUUUUGGACACCAAUUUCUCUCGACUGCGGCAAACGAAGCCAAAACAGGCUUUUUCUCCAAUAUCUCCGCAUAGACUCGUCAGAUCGCCGAACCGAGUUCACCAACGCAUUAGAUUACCUAGCAAUUAGGGUUACAAGAGAUCAAACUCAAGUUAGAUCUCAAUUUUACAAAACCCCUAAAUUUAACCCUAAGCUUAUCAUCUUUACAAAAUAGCCCCAUAUUCAUGGAGAUCCAUGAACCAUUCCACCAUAGCAUCUUCUAAAUGCAACAAUUAGAAGAAAUUAAGCAAACCCUAACACCAAAACCCUCAAAACAUAGGAUACUUAUCUCAAAACGAAGCUUUCUUCCAAGCUAGGGCUUGCACAAGAAGGUUCAUCUCCACUAAGCUAGUCUUCUCCACCAAAACUCCACCAUUGGAGAUACCCAAGGAGAGAGAGAGGGAAAUCUAGAGAGAAAAAGAGAACUCUCAUUGUGUUGGGUUGAGAGGAAAAUGAGAGCUAACCCUAAGUCACCCUCAUAUAAACACUCUCAUAUGGCCUAAUUGCACUUAGCCCCUCCAAAUAACAGAGUUACUCAACUCUGCAGUUUUUCGUGCACGGGGUCCGGACCCUCCAUGUAGGGUCCGGACCCCGAGAGCACUAAAAUUCUGAAAAUUUCAGAAUUCAGUCCACCAGCUCUCCAAGGUCCAAACACCUCUCUAAAUCAUUCCGGAGCGUCCGGAAUGCGUAACGGACCACUCCAACUCGUCCGCAACCAUACUUCGGUCAAUUUUGAUGGAAGUUCAGUACAACUUAUUGGGGACACGGCAUGUUACGCUUUACUUGCGUUGAUGUCACAGCAGUCCUGUUUGGACGGUAUUCUUGGACCGGCCAUUCCCGUGGGUGGUGUGCGGUGUAGCUUGGGUACAGGUUGGAUUGGCCAGUUGGUGGUCCGUUGAAAUUGGGUCAGUGUGAUUGAGUUGUAGCUAGUGAUGCAUUCCUAUAUCUAGCGAGAGCAUGGGUUGGAUAGAGGUAGUCUAGUCAGACAUAGCUGUAGAGUUUCUUCCAGCUUAUUUUAAUAUCCUUUGCAUACCUUUGCUAUAGACUUAGUAGAUAGGCCGUUGGGGUCGGUGACGGUACCCACUGUGGACUACUCUAUUUUGUAGUAGUUCUCACACCCAGUUGUUGCCACUUUUUUGCAGAGCCGUCCACUGCUGCUGCUGUUGAUUCUGACUGCGGUAAGGGAGUCGUGAGUUAGAUCCCUACCUUUCCUGGUCAUUGUGCUAGAGGAGUAUCCCCCUUUCAGAGGUAGUUUUGGGGUGUUACCAUGUACAUACUGUUAUGUUCUGUUGUACUCUCUGAGUCGAGGUUGUAUUUUGGAUAUUGUAUGUACAGUGGGCUUAGUAUGUUUUUAUAUAUAUAUUUCUGGUUUAGCAGCUCUGUGCUUUGGUUGUAGCUCCUAUCUAUUUGCAAGUAUAGCUAUCGCUUUGUAUACACGGAAAAUUUCUUUAUAUACGGCGGAUGUCACACCCGGGCCCCAGCAGAAGCCUGCCCAGUGCGUGCCUAGACCCGCCAUAUGCCAGCAAUAUAUAAGGUGUAAGAACUGAGAUUUUGGCAAUGUAACUAAACUAUCUGUUAUGAUGUUUUUGUGUGUAAUUUAAUUACAUAAGAACUCGUCAAGUUUUAGGAGAAAAUGAGUUAGAAUGGAGAAGUUACGCGAUAAAUAGUUUUCACUUAAAGUGAAUAGUAACUCCGGUUUUUUGGAGAGGCUGAUGAGUAGAGUUGGUUUCUGGAGUGUACCGGACUCCGUUCAUAACGAUCCAAUAGCUUAUUUCGAUCAGUUCAGCUAUUCUGGAACCAAUGGCGUUGACGGAUUUCAGAUCUGACGCACGGAUUUUGAGAAAUCUAAAAAUACAUGUAUUAUAUGUAUUGGUGCGUAGUUUUGAUAAUUGGAGAGUGGAUGGAUUUCGUCACAAAACGGCGAUCAUAUCGGGUGAAACGAAAUUGUGAGUUCGAUGCCCCAAUCGUACUGAACACGCUGGCGCAGUCCGUUCGAUAAUCCGAAGGGCGGAUCGGUAGAUAUCACACGUUUAUCGAGGAACGAUCCAAUGGGUCAUUUUCGUAUUUCGUGGGAAACCCCUAUAUUUUAUGUAUCGAAUCGCUUGAGAUCGAACGUUGAGGUGGGUUUGCACGAAAUACUCAUACUGUGAAGGACCCAGUAUGAAAGUUUGAGUUUUCGGAGACUUUUGCGUGAUUUAGCGACUUGUAUUUAUAAGCAGCUAGGGUUUUCCAAGCUAACCCUAACCCUAGGCUGCCGCAUCUACCUCAUGCGUGCUCGGGCCGAGCCCAAGCCUGUUCUUGACCCGCGUGCUGCCUCCACCUCUGGGAUGGUCGCGCCUCUCUUCUUGGACUCCGGCAACCCAUCGUCACCGUCGCCGCCAUCCCCGUGGGCCCUCGGUGGCCGCCCUAGCUCCAUGCAGCCAUCCCGUGCAGAGUUGGGCCAGCCGAGGUGGUCUUGGUCUCCGCGCAUCGCCGCCGCCCACCCUCGGUCCCGCUGCCCUCCUCUGACCUCAGGCGACCUACCGCGCGCGUCGCCGCCAUUCCCACAGGCCGUCGCCGUGGUCGCCGCUGCUCUCUGUGCCCGAGCCGAGCCCAUGCGGGCUCGGGAUGCUCCAGCGCCGUGACGGCCACCUCCAGCUGCCGGCCGGGGUGAGCGCCGCCUCCCUUGGGUCGGCCGCACUCGUCAGCCGCCGGCGCCCCUGUCGCCGAAGCUCCUGUCGGCCAGAACUAGGCCGAACUCGCCUCGGGUUACCUUGGCUAGGGCAUCAUGGCCAGCUGCCGCCGCCGCCUCUCACCACCGGCCAAUGCAUGCCUGGGUACCCUUUGACGGCCUCAGCCUCCCCCUGCCGGCGCGCCCGUCGCCGUGCCGCCGCCGGCCACCCUGUGCUCCACCAAGCUCCGGUAAGCUGUAAUUACUGUCCAGCACACUGUUUGGGAUUUUCGGUCACCUUUCCCGUGAUCCUAAGGCACCCCAAUGAUUGUGGAAGUGAGCACGAUCAUCCUUCUUUCAUGCUGGACAUCGUACUCACCUCUGUUGGGAUCAACGGUGCCCCGGUUUGCGCGUUAGAAGCUUUCUAUUCGCUGUGUGCGCUGUUUCGCAGAUCGUCGUGUCGCUCGUGCACUUGCCACAAGGGUCGGCAAUGCUCCGAAAGGUGAGCACGGCCUACGGCACGCCGAGACCUGUCAGUAGGUGUCUCGGCUUGGCUGAAUGACCCCUGGUUUAUGUUGUCGGAGCAUAAAAGCCCAGAAAUCACAUAAAAUAAUGCGAUUUCAUGAAAUCAGGAGGGCUUUUAUGUAAAUGUGUUGUUUGUGGUUGUUGUUGGCAGCGUGUGUGGGCAGUAGGUGACCUCUGGACUGAUUGUCUAAGGCCCCAAGCCUCUGCGAAAAUCGGAAAGGGAUUUCCGGUGCGUUUGUCGGCAAAAUCUACUGACGGAACGUGUUUUCGGUUCGGAAUUCUUCCGACGGCGCCUUGUGAGCUAUUGUUAUGUCGCUGAGCCUUGUUGGCUAGUCACCCGCGUUGUUUCGAGUGUUCGGGAACGGCGGGUGAGCGACGAUGGGUUCCGAUGUCGAAAUAGACACUUUCGGGAACCCAGAUCCGAACGAUUAUCCGACGAUAAUUGUUUGGAGGCGAGGUUUUGUGUUUGCUGCCAUGUCAUACUAAAAUAAGUGUUUAGUGGCAGCGGGUGACUCGUAGUACUAAUCGGUGUUUUCCGGGACGGUUCGUGGAUCCCGGUGGAGUCCCAGUGCUGUUUUCGGGACUUCCGGUGAGUUCGGCAAUCAGUUUUAGGAAACUGACUCCCGUAGAUAUAAUUAUGGGGUUAUGUGUUAGUGUUUUAUAUUUGUAGGUUAGAUACUAACCCGGUGGACCCUCCGUAGGUCCAGUUUACGAUCUUUCGCAGUCACGAGACAGACGCGACAUUCGUACAGUUGGGUACUUCGAUCCGAUGUCGGUACAGUGGUGCACAUUCGGUGAUGGUUUCUUACCCUUGCUCUCUUAUUAUAAUCCGUGCUUAUACUAUAUGUUGAGCCUAGCACCCACGUUGUUUGGUUAUACUCUACUUAGAUAUUUUCAUGCUUAGUAUCAUGUGUAGGAGUAGAGUAGUUUAUCUAUAUGUGAUACCAUGUUUUCUUAUUGUUCUACUUGCCUGUUCUACAUAUCAUGUAUCAUGUCUAGAGUAGAGCGGUUUCGUGACUAUUUGUGAGAUGGUGACCUAGUCGGUCAGUGCAUUGUAUCUGUUUUCGUGACCUGAUUGGUCGGUCGUUGUAUCUCGUGUCGGUUCCUUGACUUCUGUCGUCGAUGACCGUUGAGGUCGGUGUAUCCUGAGGGGUUGGAUUGUCGGCUAAUGGCUGACGGUAGUUCUGAAUUCUAGUGAUACAUGAUGUGACAUUCGUGUGACCUAUUGGUCAGUUUUUGAGUAUACAGUUAGUUGACAUUGAGCAGUACUUGCAUACGUUGAGAGGAUGUUGAGUUGUUCCAUCCUAGUUGACCUGAGUGGUCGGUUCUUGUGUUCCUCACGAUUCGAUGGCCCAUACGGUCAGUUUACCCUGAAGGGUUAGAUUGUCGGCUAGUUGCCGAUGUUUGGCUUUUGAGCAUAUCAGCAUCGAUCGCCACUGCUCGUGCGCAUUUCACGAACACCAGCGGUCUGAUCCAUCGCAAAAGGGUGUUCUUUUCCGAAAAAGUGGUUGCUAGUGUCAAUCCGUGAGCCCAAGAGGGGUUAUAUGCUUUCAGCCUGAGGUGUUGCGGACCAAUACGGCUUGCCUGAGGUGUUGCGGACCAAUACGGCUUAUUUCUGUUUAGAGCAGUUGUGGCAUGGGCCUGAGGUGUUGCGUAACAAUACAGCCGUUCCAGAUUGGGUAUAUUUGGUCUAUACGUCCGGUUGACGCAUAUGUCAAUAGUAGUAGUUGUUGCAUGCAUACUUACAGUUCUUUUCAUAUACUUGUCUUGCUACUAUAGUUUCGAUACCUAUGUAUGCAUUCAGUUCUUCUUUAUAGUAGCGGUAGUUGUUCUUACAUAUCCUGUUUAUGUAUUAUCGUUGCUAUUGUACUUAGUAUAUUUGCUCAUGAUCUUAUUUAUCUCUUCCUGGUCUGGUGAGUACUCCUCGCCUUCAUCAGCUUGCGGUACCCACUGGGAUGGGAGACAUGUUUACAUGUUCUCACCUCCCCCACCAUUUUUCAGGUAUUGCGGGCGGUGAGAGUUGAGACGAGACGUGAGACACGUUCGUAGCGGUCGAUAGAGCUUCCGACCCGGUUGGGUUGGUUUACUUACUACCCCUUUACUUCUGUUGAUAUAUGACUUAGAUAGUUAUUUGAUUCAGUUGUUAUUACUUAUGAAUUCACAUGGUUUCAUGAAAGUAAUAAAAGAAAUUGUGGAUUUUGUGAAUUGGAAAAUAAUUUUCUACCCCUCGUGGUAGUGUUUUAAAAGAAAAAGCGUUUCCGUGUAGGAAACAGAUUUGAAAAAGAUAUUCUUAUGGUUUUCAUAAACUAGUAUUUCAAAAUGAGUUUCCGAGUAGGAAACAUUUAAACUAAUAGUUAUGGAUUUCUAAAUAAACCCUGAAUGUGAUUCUGUGGUGAAUGGUGUAUAAAUAUGAAUGUCUUUAUGUUCAGUUGUGGUUGUAUUCUGUUUGUAUCUUGUACUUGUACGACGCCGUGCAAAUACAGGGGAGACUCUGUCCGUGUGAAUAGUGGACUCCCUGUAUUUAUGGCGGAUCUGGCAUACCCUGGGGGUCAGGUUUUCAAAAAAAAAUUCCACUGUGUUUUUAGACUACAAAAAGACCCUGGGGCGUGACAUAAGGCGUCUACAACAAUACUAUAAAUAAAACGAGAAUAUAACAACAACUAGUAUGGUAUCAGAGCAUGAAUACAACUAAUAUCUAAAAACAAGUGGAAAGUAGAACUGAACAACUAUAUAUUAAAAAAAAAACUUCAAGUAGUACAUACAACAUGAGAAAAAAAUCCACAUAAAAGGAAACUAAAUACAAAAAGGUGGUCACUAAAUAUCGGGCACAACACAUCCCUCUCCAAUAAGGACAAAAGGAGAGAUGAUCACCUAGCAGAUACUCCAAGUUAAGACUAGUUAAUGUGACCCCCUUGUCGCGAUUCCUAGCCACUCCUGGCAUGGAUGGCUCUAUAAACAAAAAUAUCAACAACAUGAGAAUGAGAACUAUUAGUCAAUAGUUCCUAGUGGGCAAGCCGUCGACAUCAGCGAAAUACACCACUAGGUCAUCGAAGCAUGAGUAGUAUAUAAAGGAGUAUGAAAUGGACAAUAUGAUAUUAUUAAGCAGGUAAUAAACUUCUAAGCUACUAUGCCUCCAAUUAACAUAAUGUGUCACAUAUAAUACAAUUAUUCUAUCAUUAAUGAAUAUGUCCAACAAGUCCAACUAAUAUGCAUGUCCAAAAAGUCCAACUGAUAUGCACUAUCUAGUAGUGGUUUCCACAUUAUACUUUUUAAAUGUCAUUAUUCAGUUCCAACUGGGACCUACGCAAGUUUAGUCCGGCUUGCACCACCUAAUGGCCCCGUGGUAGUCCAACAUUCUCCCUCUAGUAAUGAGCCUGUCCCACGGCGACCCAGUAGGUUGUUUGAGUUAAAAAAAAAAAAGAGGGAAGAAACCGAUACAUAUAUAGUAUAUAUAUAUAUAUCAUAUAUAUAUAAUAGUAUUAUUAUAUAUAUUAUGUAUAUAUAUAUAUAAUAGAUAUAUAGUAUGAGUGAGUAUAUAUGUAUAGUAGUAUAUAUUAUAGCAUAUAUAAUAUAAUAUAUAUAUAUAUACAUAUAUAUAAAUAUACAUAUAUAUAUAAUGUAUAUAUAAUAUAUAUGUAUAUGUUUUUAUAUAUAUUGUAUAUGUGUAUAUAUAUAUUUAUCAUCAUAUACAUAUGUAUAUGUAUAUAUGUAUACAUAUGUAUAUGUAUAUAUACAUAUGUACUAUAUAUAUAUAUAUUAUAUUAUAUAUAUAUAUAUAUAUUAUAUAAUAUAUAUAUCAUAUGUAUACAUAUUUCUGUUACAUUAUACUAUACAUAUUAUGCAAUAUAUACAUAUGUAUAUAUGUAUAUAUCACAUAUACAAAUAUAUAUUACUACCAUAAUAAUGAUAUAUAUACUAAUAUAUUAUUGUAUAGGUAUUAGAUAUAUAUUGUAUGUAAUAUAGUAUAUAUGUAUAUCUAUAUGUAUAAUAUAUAUUAUAUAUUAUAUAUAUAUUAUAUAUGUAUUAGAAUAUUUAUAUAUAUAUAUAUAUGUAUAUAUAUAUUUACUAUACAUCAUAGAAUACAUAUAUGUAUAUACAUAUAAUAUAUAAUAUAUAUAUAUAUAUAUAUGUAUUAUACAUAUAUAUAGGAUAGCAUAUAUCUAUCUUUAUAAUAAUACAUACUAUAUUAUAUAUUUUACCAUACAUAUUAAUAUAUAUAUAUAUAUAUAUAUAUAUAUUAUAUUAUAUAUGUUACUACAUAUGUAUUGUACUAUUACAUAUGAUAUAUAACAUAUGUAUAUAUACAGAUACAUAAUGUAUACAUAUAUACAUAUUUAAUAUAUAUACAGAUGUACGUUAUGACAUAUGUAAUUAUACAAUGCUAUAUAUAAAUAUAUAUUAUAUAUAUAUAUAUAUUUAUAUAAUAUAUAGUAUACAAUAUUGUAUAUACUAUGUAGUAUACAUAUGUAUAUACAUAAGCGGGGGAGGGUUGUAGUUAUACAUAGCUAUUAUGUAUAUAUUAUAUGUUAUAUUAUAUAUAUAUAUUAGUAUAUAUUAUAUAACUACAUAGUAUAUAUACAUAUAUAUAUAUGUAAAUAUGUAUAUACAUAUGUAUUACAUAUGUAUAUAUAUAUAUAUAAUAUACAUAUAUAUACAUAUAUAUAAUAUAACAUACAUAUCUAUAUAUAUAGUAUACUAUAAUAUACAUAUAUUAUAUACAUAAUAUAUGUUAUAUAGUAUUACAUAUGUAGAUACAAUAGUACUUAUACAUAUGUUAAUUAUAUAUGUAUCAAUAUUAUAUAUUUAUGUAUAUGUAUAUAUAUAAUAUAUAUAUCUAUAUAUAUAUGUAUAUAUGUCAUAUAUAUUAUGUUAUAUAUGUACAAUAUAUGUAUAUAUGUACGAUAUAUAUGCAUAAUGUAUCAUAUAUAUGUAAUAUAAUUACAUAUAUUAUGUAUUAUGCUAUAUAUACAUAUAUAUAUAUACAUUAUAUACAUAUAUAUAUAUAUAUACAUAUAUAUAAUAUAUAUAGUAUAUAUAUAUAAUGUAUAAUAUAUAUACAUAUAUAAUGAUAUUAUACAUAAUUUAGUACAUAUAUAGUAUUAUACAUAUAUACAUUAUUAUAUACAUAUAUAGUAUACGAUAUAUAUUCACAUGUAUAUACAUAAUUUAUAUUAUAUAUAUAUAGAACCAUUAGAGUAGUUCAUUUCCUACUUAGAAUUCGAAUCUAAAAAAUAAAAAAAAAAUUUAAAAAAAAUAAAAACAAUUAAUAUAUAUAUAAUAUAUCUAUUAUAUAUAUAUUAUAUAUAUAUAUUAUAUUAAAACAGAGAGAAAUGACAUUAAAAAAAGAGAAAGGAAACGUACAGGUGUAAGCAUGAAAUUCAGCUUAAGUUAAUCUGUGGAUCAAGGGUCGCCCAAUAAUGCUAAAAUGGAAAUUAGGCGUCCUAAACUUAAUUAGAAGCCUAGAUCAGCCUUGGCCAUUUUGCAAGUUGUUAAAUAGAUAAGAAUGGAAUUGGACAGUGGCUAAAGAACUGCCAAUUGUCAAUUACAACUCUGACAAGCUAAAUUUUAGUCCGAUUUGUUUAUCCAUAUUUAUUCAAAAGUGAUAAAGCGAGUUUGCCUUCCAAAUUAAAUUGUGUAGCUGGAUAAAGUCCCUUGUAUGUUUUGAAGUUUUGAGGGAAUCGACUCAAAACAGUUAGAAUUGGAAUUUUCUUUAAAGACGUGACUGAGAAAUUUAGCAGAAAAUGCUACUAAGGUCAGAAAAUUAUGAAAUAUUGUGCGGAAUGUCAGACAUAAUGUUCAUGAGGUUAGAUUAAAGUGUUGCAGUUAUUCUGACACUCGUAGAGAGAGAAAUGAUCGGCAAGCCUAUCGAUCAAAUUUCAUUCGUGUACGACAGUCGCAGGACCAAAUGGGGUCAGGAGACUGAAAUCUCCUAAAGAUUUUCUUUGGAGCUUACUAUUCAAGGUAAACGAACAUGCACCUUGUCUCAAAAUUUGCAGCUCAACGGACUUUUGGAGAGCUGCGAAAGGAUAUCUAAAUACCGAGCGAGUAUAAAACGAUAAUCAGAGAAGACAUUAUCGGUAAUUACGCAUAGUUAGUGGAAUUCCGAACACUAACCAGCAGGAGACCUACAGCGAUCAACUUAUCCUAAACACUGCACCUUCCCUCCAUACGUAGAAGAGACAGACGAAGAAAGAGAAAAGGAGAGGUAGAAAGAUAGAGAAGAAGAAUAUACAAAAAAGAAGAAGAAAAAAGGUGAGGAUUUAUUUAUUCCAUCCCCCCAAUCAGCCCUCAUUCUGCCUGCUAAAAACAGCAGCAGGCAAGCCUUUAUCCCUGCUGCUAGAAAACGCUCAGCAGCAGUCAGCAGCAGAGCAGCAAUAACAGCCAGCAACUCAGCGCUGCAGGGAAAAGAAAGAACAGAAAGAGAAAGAAAAGAAGUAUCUAAUUAAGGUAAGAUUAGUAUUCUAGUAUUUGGAAUUCAUUGUUAAAUUAGUUGCCUUAGACAACAUGGGGCAAUAUUAGUAAGGAGUAUCCUGCUGUUUAUGAACCUGAAUAGCUUCGAGAAGGUGAAUAUGAUCGAGAAUGAUGUAGCUCAAUCGACAAGAAUCAAGCAGGGAAGAAGGCUUCGACAGCAGGAAACUUAGAUUUGCUAAGAGUAAUACCUCUCUACUUGAUUAAAUCGAUUGAUAAUUGUAUUCACGCUUAUAACUGAGCCUUCGAUGUAAUGAUUUUAUGACAGCUGGGAUGCUGAUAGUCCUGGUGCUGACGAUAAAGAGGGAACAGCUGAAGGAAUAAAGAGAUUCCUAUUUGUUCGAACUGCCGUGAUUGCAGAAAUAGCAACCAUUUGAAGCAUAAGCACUUAAUCAGCGGCUAAUUAAACACGGUAAUUUAGUUAUUACGGGUUCUAGUUAAUGAAUCGCUUCUACGGCAAUGAGACCUAUAUUCGAAAUAUAUAAUUGCCUGAAAAUUUUCAGCAUUUUGAGCUGAAAGGUAGAGCUAUUGUGUAGCAAGUGUAGAUGAGAAUGAAAACUUUGAAGAGUUAAACUCGGGUUAAAUGGAUGCUAAUUCCUGUAUUAAUUGUAUUAACUGCCUGUGAAUAGUUGAUUUAAACAAUUUAAAGUAAUGCAGGAAUAUGGUUAAUGAGAGUGGGUCUUGGAUGCAGCAGAGCGACUAAGUGAUAGCUUCAGCUGAGCACAACUUAGAUAUUGAAGCAAACCUAAAUAAGAUUGACCUGUGCUGAGAGCAAGCAGGUUGCCAUUGUGGAGCUGACCUGUUUAAGAAUCCGGGCUUGUCGGUGGCUGCUGCUGUCUCGCUGAAUUUCUGAACACUCACAUUGAAGCUUGUGGAAUGACAUGUUCAGAGGAAAGGAGAUACACAUGCUAAUAAUGUACUUUAGCUUGAUUCCAGACAUUCCAAUUCGUCACGGCCUAUGGGUUUAAUUGAGCUGAAAAACAAACAAUUGGCAGCCAAAAUUAAUCGUCGAUUCUAAUAUAUCAACAUUGUAAUUGAAUUGAUUAGCUAGAUAUUAAGAGAAUGUAAGUUGAGAAUCGCCAUGGCGAUAACUGAGAUAAACGAGAGGUCGACUUAUAAGUUACGAGCACGUUUAGAAUGAACUGGAAAAAGAAUGCAGACAAGAGCAAAUUUACAGCCAAAAUUUGUAAUAUAAUAAAAGCUGAAAAUUUAAAUUGAUUAAGUAGCUGAAACUUAAAGAGCUAGUUUUGCAAUGGCUGAACUCAAUCUAACAUCCAAGUCCCAGAUGCUCUUCAGCAUGAUCGUUCCGAACCUCCAAUAGCUGAGCUGACAAUUUAAAUAUUCCAUGAAAGUUACUCUUAAGGAUCAAUACUCUAUCUUAAUGUUGAAAGACCAUAUUAGUUCGCUGGAAAAUUUCAGCAUAGUGGAACUUCCCAGUCAUCGGCAGAAAUUCCUCGAGCCCAUGAUGCAAUCUUUAAUCAUGAGCCUGAAAAUAGUCACCGGACCCCAAUGACAUUCGAGGUCAAUCAUGCGCCUAUAAUCCUAGCCUACAGCGGACCGUUAAUUACUCUCUGAAAUCGUACUAUAAUAUUGCUGAAAAUUUGCCUAUAUAUGCUGAAAACCAUAUAGUAUGAUGUACAAAGGAAGUAUAUGCAGAUGAGUUAGGGAUGAAAUUUGGACAAUAAGUACCUAUAUGUUUCUGAAGUAGAUAUAAGGAUACUGCUGUAACGGGAAUGUAUAGUAGGACUGCUCAAGUAUCGACAGCUUCUAUGUCAUCAUGAGCUUAUAAAAUCCAAUCUAGUAUACUAUAGUAUAUGUCUACCGUUGAUACUAUAUAGACUUAAGUGGCGAGUCGAAUGGCUAUACUGUUUAAAAUAUCAGAAUAUUGACCUAUUCUACACCCUUUUAUUACUUCAUAAAUGAAAGUUCUAACUUGUACAAAAGUCUAAUUGACCAUCUCCACACCCGUCGGCGAAGUAUCCCAUUAAAGCCAAUUCGGCUCUCAGUUGAAUUGAGUCCGUAUACUUGUUGCGAAGUCACUUCGAGACUGUUGAUUCUAUUGUAUGACACCACUAACGAGCGGUGGGUGGGGGUGCUAAUCCGAGCGCUUUUGACAUCACCAUUUAUGUCUAUGCAUUUUCAUUGAUCCAUAUCUACCUUGUAUUCACUGCAUCAUAGGUUAAUGACCAUUUAUGCCACCAGUAUAUCUUGAAUAUUGUGAACGCUGUAUUAAUGUGGAGAAAAUGUGAACUCGUAGAUGAGAGUUAGAACCCUAUGAAUGUAUGUAAUAUAACCAAUAAGGAACUUUGGUGACAUUCUAAUUAGAGAUUGUGACCAUCAGAAAAUGAAUUUGCUGAAACUAGCAUCAAAGAACUAUUAAGUAAAGCUUGACAGUGUUUGUCAUAGUGAAUCCUUCUAAAGUGAGAUCAAUCAUAUCUCACCAUUAUGUUUGGUUCAAGUCGAGCGCUCGCUCCAUAACGAUGAGCUCCGGAGUAGUAGUCAUCUUUAACUGGACCAGAGUUGCCGUUCUCCCCCCAGUGACAUCCCCGUCCCGCUGGAGUCCAGCAGGUUGCCGUCUCCCCAUGUUUUGGUAUGUGUCCAGUGAUGAGUUAUUGUUAACAGUGGUUGUUAAAAGCCAAAAAGUUGGUGAAAGUUAAUGACAAGCAGCAUCGCUUACUUCUACAGUUAUAUAUAUGCUUCCUUUCAUCUUGUACAGCAGUCAGUAGUUACAUUCUAAUUUGGUUACUAUCUGUUUACCUUCUUGCUACCAUAUGCCUGAGUAGACCUAGGUGUCGCGCUGAGCCGGCGUCCCCUGUCCUCACCGACCUCUGCCUAAGCCCCGAACCCUCAUCUCGGGAACUUUCUUGUUUAGUUCUCACACACUAACCCAUACAGUUUCAGUCUGGUGAGCUGUUGCUGCGCGAGGAUCGACUGUAAAAGCAGCAGCCCUAGUACGUGGACACCCAGAGUUGAUCCAGUGCCCGUUACCAGUUUGACGUUCAAGUCACUCAAUCUAUUUCGAGCUGUACAGAGAAAUUGUAAAUGAAUUAACUAAGUGCAUUGUAAAUAUAAAUGUUUCAGUUAUGCAAGUUAGUUACAAGCUCUUUCAAAUCUUACCAUGGAUUUUCAUGUUUAGUCCUAGACUUACUAUCCACUUUGCCCCUGCCCUCUUCCUCUCGCCACUGUGGUGCAACCAUAUGCUACUAUUAAAUGUAUCCGGUGAAUUGUUUAUCUCUGCUAUACAUGAGUAUUCCGUGUUGUCUGGCCUUGUUUCGGAACAAGAGAGGUGCUAGUUCGCUACUUGUCGCGUUUGCUUACGAGCCGGAUCCGACCAAAUUGCCGACCCCUACGGGCACUGACCAACAGGCUGUCCUCCAGGCGCGGAAGGCAAUCACCUCCCCCUGAGAGGUACAAGGAUCGACUCACCUCCCUUCUUCACAUGAAUAAAAAAAAAGAUGCAAAAAAACAAAGAAGCACCAGGCCGUUAAAAACAAACAAGGGGGGGGGCGCGAAGAAAGGCAUGUCCACCUCUUUUCCUUCGUCAAACAAAAAAAAAACAAAACCAACAAACAAAUAAACAAACGAGGGGAAGUAUUCAAAAUAAAACAAAAGGAGUAUAAUUAUUUGAUUGAGGUUUGUUUCCUCAAUAAGUUGAUUUUUAAAUUAUUCCCAAAUGGGAAUCAUCUUGGAAUCCUAUAUAAAAUAAGCUCCAAAUUUCGAAAAGGGGUUCGAGAGAUUUUUUUAACAGAAGAAAGAAAAGGGAGAUCCAAAAAAAAAGAAAGAAAAAGAAGAAGAAAGAAGAAGAAGAAAAAAACGAAAAGGGUGAAAAAAUAAUACAUAGUUUUCUCUCUCUCUCUCUCUCUCUUGGGUACAUGCAUGAGAGCCCUUUUGGGCAUGCUGGUAGAGGAGGGGUGCCAUGUGCACCCCACAUCCCUUGUCCGUACCACAACAACAACACAAAAAAAAAAAAAAAGAAAAAGAAAAAGGGCGGGCUUUGGCUCUCCCAUUCGACCUCGACUUCGAUAACGACAAUCACGACGACUUUUACAACAAUAGGAGAUAUGCAUGCAUACGCAUAGCGUAAGUGCGUUUUUUUGUCAAUUUGAUCAACCCGACCAUCUUCGUGAUAGGUUUCGAACCUAUCAAAUUUGACAUUAAAUCGUCACUUCCGCCCUGCGUAUGCAUCGCUAAUCUCUAAAUCGUGUGGCCAUCUUCGCGAUAGGCUCGAUAUGGUCAAAAUGAUUGAUUGAACCGGAUAUUUUACUGCGUAAACCGUGCGGCCAUCUUCGCAAUAGGCUCGACAUGGUCAAAAUGGGUGAUCGAGCAUCGUUCAUUUACUGCGUAAAUCGUGCGGCCAUCUUCGUGAUAGGCUCGACAUGAUCAAACCCGCGUACUUGAACAAAACGUGAUAGAAAAUAUACAAUAAUAAAAUAAUAAUAAAAGAAUAGACGAGAACUAUUUUGAUUCGUCAUCUUCAUUCGAUUCGAUCGUAUUGCUCGACGUGAUAAAUUUCGUAUAUUAAAAAAAAAAGAGACGAAAUUUCAUAUAUUUGGACAAAUUUAAAAAAAAAAAACAAAAAAAAACAGUAAACAAAAAAAGAAGAAAAAAAAGGAGGGCACCCCCUUUUUUCUCUCUCAGUUUCGUACAGAGAGAGAGAGGGACUCCCUCUCCCUCUCUGGCAGCCAACAAAAAAAAAAAAAAAAAAAAAAAAAAAAANNNNNNNNNNNNCUUUAGUUUACAAGCCAAGCCAAAGGCCAUCUCAGCAAAGUUAAAAAGAAAAUGUUUUUUUUAAAAAAACAAAUUAUGAAGAGAGAUGACAAAAUAAAAAGGUGACAUUUAGGUACAAAGAAUCCAAUUCCCCAAAUCCCACCCCAUCUCCUCCUUCCACUCUCCUCCUCAUUAAAUUUCAAAUGUUUGGAAAAGGCCAAUACAUGAGGUCCCCAACUAACUUUGUCCCCCCCCCUCUCUCUCUCUCUCUCUCUCUCUCUCUCUCUCUCUCUCUCUCUCUCUCUCUCUCUCUCUCUCUCUCUCGGUUUCGUACACACAUAGAGAAAGAGAGAGAGAGAGAGAGAGUUGGGUUUCCCUCUCUCUCUCCUGCCAGUCAACAAAAAAAAGAAGAGAAGAAAGAAAAAAAAAGAAAAGAAAGGAAGAACCAACAAAAACAAAAAAAAAAAAGAAAAAAGAAGAGAAAAGAAAAGAAAAGAAAAGAAAACAACAAAUACAAAAAAUCUCUCCCUCGCAACCAACAAAAAAAAAAAAGAACAAAAAAAAAGAAAAGAAUUUGAAGAGUUGGAUUUGAGUUAUUUAAUUUGAAAAUGGUUCAAUCCAUCAUGGGCCCAAUGAACAAACUCUAUAAGUAGUAAAAAAAAAUAAUAAUAAAAUAAAGCACCAAGCUCACAUGCAGAGCCCACAUGCAGAUUCGGGUCCAAGGCCCAGAGCAUAUAAAGUUCAAGACUAAUUUCAGUCCACAUGCAGAUUCGGGUCCAAGGCCCAGAAUAUGUAAAGUCCAAAACCAAUCUCAGCCCACAUACAGAUUCGGGCUCAGAACAUGUAAAGCCCGCAGCCUAUCUCAACCCACAUGCAGAUUUGGGUCCAAAACAAAUAAAAAUUUAAAUGAAUAAAUUUCUUAACCCAAAACCCAAAGUCCACAAAUAAGAUCCAAAACCCAAAAUCCAAAUAUCCAAAAUCCAAAGUCCAUAAAUAAAACCCAACCAAAUCUAUCAAACCUAUGUCAUCCAAGUACCUCCAACCUAAACCGAGUUCUUGGGCUUUCUAAAUGGGCCCUUUAUUAUGAAUUAAUUCCAUGAAUUAAUGGGUUGCCAAAUGGGCCCUCCUAUCAUGAAUUAAUUUCAUGGGUUCUCCAAAUGGACCCUCUUAUUAUGAAUUAAUUUUAUGGGCUUUCCAAAUAGGCCCCCCUAUCACGAAUUAAUUUUAUGAAUUAAUUUCAUAGGUCUGCCAAAUGGACCCUUCUUGUCAUAAAUUAAUUUUAUGAACUAAUGGGCCUUCCAAAUAGAUCCUUAUCAUAAAUUAAUAAACUCAUGGGCUCUCCAAAUGGGCCUUUGUCAUGAACCCGACUCAAUGGGCUUUCUAAAUGGGUCCUCAUCAUAAACUACUUCCAUAAAUCCAUUUUAUGGGCUUUCGAAAUCCCCCCCACACAUCAUGAAUUAAUUUUUUCAAUUAAUUCAAUGGACUUUACAAAUGGGCUCCUAACAUGAAUUAAUUUUAUGAACCAAUUUCAUGAGAUUCGACUCAAACCGACCGCCAUGUCAUUAAACUGCGCAACUCAAUUUAAAAUCGACCGCCAUAUCGCUAAACUGAGCAACUCAAUUUAAAAUCGACCGCCAUGUCGCUAAACUGAGCAACUCAAUUUAAAAUCAACCGCCAUGUCGCUAAACUGAACAUCUCAAUUUCAGUCGACUGCUAAGUCGCUAAACUGAGCAAAUCAAGUUCAAAUAUGACCGUCAAGUCGUUAAACUGAACAAGUGACUAUUAAGUCAUUUAAACUGAACUUUUGACCGCCAAGUCGUUAAACUGAGCAAUUAAAUCAAACCCCUUUGACUGCCAAGUCGUUAAACUGAGCAAUCAAAUCAAACCCUUCUGACCGCCACGUCGCUAAACUGAGCAACUCAAUUCAAAAUCGGCCGCCAUGUCGCUAAACUGAGCACUUCAACUUCAAUCGACCGCCAAGUCGCUAAACUAAGCAAAUCAUGUUCAAAUAUGACCGUCAAGUCGUUAAACUGAACAAAUGACUGUAAAAUCAUUAAACUGAACAUCCGACCGCCAUGUCAUUAAACUGAGCACCAAAACUCAAAUUGACCGCCAUGUCGCUAAACUGAGCAACCCAAUUUAAAAUCGACCGCCAUAUCGCUAAACCGAGCAACUCAAUUUAAAAUCGAUCGCCAUGUCGCUAAACUGAGCACCUCAACUUCAACCGACCGCUAUAUCAUUAAACUAAGCAACUCAACUCAAAAUCGACCGUCAUGUCACUAAACUGAGCAUCUCAACUUUAAUCGACCAUUAAGUCUAUAAACUGCGUAUUUAAUUUUAUAAAAUCUAUGUACAGUGGGGGAAUGCCCCUGUUUAAGCCAUGUACACGGCAAAUUAUAUUAAUAAAAUUUUAUUUGCCUGCUUGGUCUCUUUUAUCAGGAUUUAUAUUCGGUUUCUUAAUCGGGGGUUCCUUAACACUGAAAGUGUGGGGUAAUUAACAGCAGAUUCUUGAGUCUAUUGGAAACCAUGAACCUAUAAUUCUGAUUUCAAAAUAAAACUUAAGUAAACUUAACCUUUACCAUGAAUGACAACUCGCCCUAGAAACACCUACGGCAGGGCCGGUUUGUUCGCGGCAGACAUAGGUACCCAAUCCCGCACGGGCGAACAUGUGUCGCGUAGGCUAGCUCCGGAGCGCUGGCUUGUAGCGAGCAACCCUCACAAGCAUGUGUGAAUAAACACAAUGGCAAGCAAGCAUGAUCAUCCAUCUCAAGUCCUCCGUCAUCAUGUCUAAAAUAUGGUACAAGUACUAGCGACCCAUCGGUCGAUCUCUAUGUCAUAGUGUAAAGGUUCAACCGUUUACUAAGUCAAGUGUCACUAUAUGACAUUAAUGUACACUAUGUCAAGCAUAAGUCAUUUGUCCAUGAGCGCGUAAAACUUGUCAUUUCACUAAAUGAAACAUAAUUUCUAACAAUGUAUAAAGAGUGACAUUCCACAUACAAGUUUACUAUGCAAUUUUUCUCUCUACUACAUAAAGGCUAUAAUCUUGACAUGUAACAUAUAUGUCUUAAGCCUUCAAAAAUUCAUUUAUACUCUAUCUAGCAUAAAUAUGCAUGAUUUUCCAUUUUAAACUGCAAGAAAUGACAUAGGAGAAGUUCACCCAUUUCGGUGAGGUCAAACCCACCGAAUACCUCUCGAAACCCCUUCGUUUGUAUGAACGGAGUUGUCCACAAGCUUUCUAGCUUCCUAACAAAAAUUUAGGGGCUUCGAACGAACACCCCACGAAAUUCCUCAAAAAUCAAGCCAUAAAUAGGUGAAAAAUACCUUAAACGGCUAAAAACUCUCCCAAAGUCCCAAUGAAGGUUAGAAUGCUUCAAUUCCAAUCUAAAUAGAAGUAUUAGAACCACAGCCUCAAAAGCUCUAACAAGAAAAACCCUAAAAUAAAACCCUAGUUUCUCCAUACUAGGUUAAACUCCCAAAAAUCUAUCAAAGCACAAUCUAAAAGAGCAAUAAAUGCUACUAACCUCUGGUAGAGCUUCAAACCAAGCUAGGAAGGUGCUAGGGUUGGAGAUAUUUCCUCAACCAAGGUCAAAGCUUCAAGUCCAAGGCUUCUCCAAGGUGGAAGAACCAUCACCAAGCAAAAAGGAGAAGAAUUUAGAUUUUAAACCCAUGAAAUCUCUCACAAAAAGAGAGAAAAUCUAGAGAGAGGAAGAAAGGGGAACUCACCUUCUUCUUCUCUGGUUCACAGCCGCCCUCAUGGGUGUGUUGGGGAUAUUUAUAGAGAUGUACAAUCUCUGAAAAGCCUCUCAAAAAUAUCUAGUCUGCAACCUGCACUGCGUACCGGUACUCUGGCAGGAGUACCGGUACCCGGCAACCAAACUGGCGUAACCCGAGCCUCUGUCAAGCAAGCAGCUUGUAGUGUACUGAUACCUGCUCGAUGCAGUACCGGUACCAGGCCCCAGUACAGGUACUCGGCUUAGUCAGUACCGGUUCUCAGCCUCCCAAAGCUCAAACUUGAGAGCACCCCUCUCGGUUACGCGUCGGGUUUCCAAUACCCCUCCAUGGUACUAGUACCCAUCACCCCAAAUGUCACGCCCCGCGACCACCAAUUUGGUCGGUUCGGGUACGUCCACAAACGCCCAGAGAGUUAGUCUACAAAUUCCACCUCUAUCUCGAGCCUAACCCUCGGCUCCCAACAAGCCACUCACCGGCAUCACCCAAUUACCUAUUCACUCGGUAGGCGAUACAUUACGACCACACAUGCAUGCCAGGGAAUUAAACCCAUCCACAUUCCGAUCCCAAUUAUACUUAUGCAUGUGACACUUCAAAUCCACAUCCUACCAAAUCACACAACCUCUUCCGAAAUACCAAUCCUGCUACAAUACCAUCAGUAGCAGUAAAUUCCACAACUAGGGUCGCUUAUCCAUGGCCACUUAUCGCUCAUCGCGAACCCCCCGAUCGCACAAUCGAUCUUACUCGCUCUCCAGACCAUACCGCAGGUGACACACUCGUAGGCAACCUCAAAAGAAAGAGAUCGUCGCCAGCGCUACGGUCCGGCCACCUACUAACAACACUCAACCCAUAUGCGGGUCGGUUGCCAACACCAAACACUCCAUCUACCCCACAACGCACACCAUUGCGUCAUGUAGGAACCACCACAACCAACACCUCACAACUAGGUCAGCAAAAGACCUAUCCAGAUUCCGGGAUCACAAUCGCAACUAUCUCAGGGUCGCUAAAAACUCAACCGACCACCCGAUCCACUUAUUAGUCGCAUCAUCUCCCAGCUUUCAACCAAACAACCUGCGCUCAUAUCGCGCAAAGCACCACCUCAUCACACCCUACAAGACCCAAUCUAAGGCCUCAUCAAGGCUUGCAAAUCAUGAGACUAUACAACCUUGAACACUCUCAUUCGGAGUUCCCGCACAUAACAACCGGCCUCCAUUUCGUUAUCCACCAUCGGUUACUCCCGAGUACAUCACGACCAACUCAUCGAUCUACUUGUGAUCUGACUAUGCUCUAACUCGUUGCAUAAUAUGCAACACAGCAAUCAUCAUAGGACACUACAUGUUCAACCACUUGCCGUCUACUCCAAAUAUCAUGCGGCUAGUACACCUCACUCCGCUCCAAUAUACACAAAUCCUCCAAGGAGAAUUUCCACGGAGUCGAUCCAUGACUACUCUCGCUGCACCACUACGACAAAUGUGGCCAAUUGAUCUCAGAGCUCCGUGUCUCUACUAAACUCAGCCGACCCAAGGACAUCACUUGUCCCAAUCCACGUUGAUCUCACUAAAGAUCGGCCACGCAUAUCCACCGAACGCACGAUAACUCAACCCUCCGGGUUAACCGCGAAACACGUAACACCUACCCCAACUCAAAUCAGGCGAAAGUCAUACAAGGGAGCCUAUUCUCAUCACUCGGUUUCAUGUUGUGUGCACCCAACAUGAACACUCCCUGCUGAGAAUACACUACACCUUGGAUCUACCUCCAACAUCCGUUUUAGAGGCAUAUCACACAUGACCCAAUCAAUUAACCUUUCGCCACAAAUUCAGAUUCUCGUUCUUUCACGAACCUAAAUCCUUAUGGUUUCCAUCCUAAGGUCCCUAGGUCCGUCCUAUACUUUCACUUUUCAUCGCUCUGAUACCAUUAUAUCUGUCACGCCCCACGACCGUCAAUUUGGUCGGUUCGGGUACGUCCACAGACGCCGAACGGACAGAACCUCCCCUGUCCGCCCAAGGCUCCACCCAACAAGUAUAACAAUAUCAAUUCAAUACAAGAAGAAUGCAAGUAUAUAUGGUUGUCACGCCCCAAGAUCGGUCCAUUUGGUCGGUUCGGGCAUGUCGAACAAACACCGAACGGACAGCACCUCCCCUAUCCGCCCAAGGCUCAACACUAGUACAAAUCAAGUAUAUAGUUUGCACAAGCGGAAACAUAAACAUACAUGGCUUGCACGAGGACAAGCGAUAGCCAAAAGUGAAAGAUUCUAAACUAAACAUCCAUACAAGUAAUAUGAUUAACUUUUAACCACAUACAUGCAUUCAACAUUUUUACAUUUAUCUUCUUUUCAUUCAUACAUCACAUGAUCUCAAAAUUACAUAACAUUUCUUCCAAAAUAUAAGCUCUCUUACAUUUAAACUUCAUUUAUACAUUUUGCAUCUUCAAAUACAAAACAAGAUAUAGAGGGUAUGCAACUAAAUAAAUAUGAAACCAACUCGGGUAGUCACUGUCUAUGGCGCGAUACUUUUACCGCGAUCGUCGACCGGCUCACUUGGUCCCGGCUCUGUGGAAAAUAGUGGGUUGAGAACUACAACAAAGUUUCUAGUGGGUUCGGCCGCCGACUUCGUCGACUUUCCCACUAGGUCUAAAUCAGGCAUAAUAGAAGAAUAAACAGAUAGAUAAGUAACCAACUAUACAGAUGCAGCUAAUAUGCCUGAACAAGAUAUACAAUAAGUAUGCUUAAUAAGAAUGCUCAUGAUGCAUGCAAGAUCUCAAUUCCAACACUCAAUCUCUUGGCUAAUUCGUAGGUUUUGCCCAAGCAGCUCACGAACUCAAAUCCCUAAUAUCGGGGAGACUCCUACAACCCGACGGGACCGUCCUCUGGGGAAAACACCAACCCAGUGAUGACUAUUCUGGAGCUCAUCGCUUGAGGUGGAGUUACCACCCUCAAGCCAAGACUUAUAGGCGAGUAUGAUCCAAUCCUUAACUAUAAGGAUGCCAAGUUCAAUCCAAUCCUUAACUCUAAGGAUGCAAUGCUCAAUCCAUUCCCUAACUAUAAGGAUGCCUCAACUAUGGGGAUGUCACAAUCACAUAUGCCAUAAUGCCAAAUAUCUCAUUUUCUUGCAUUCUUUAGCUAUCAUUAGUGCCACAUACACUAAAUGUUCUUUAUACUCAUUCUCAUGCAUUCUUGACUCAUUAAUGCCACACACUAUGUGUUCAACUCUAGCAUUCAAUAUACUCAUUAAUGCCACACACUAUGUGUUCACAUGUCAUAAUGUCACUAUGUUUUUUAACUCACUAGAUUCUUUGCCACAUCUAGGUUUUUGUCACCAUUCAUACAUUUAUAGGGUUCAUAAGUUCUCAAUAGUUUACUAAUAUUUUAUAUGCAUCUUGUACUCACAACAUGCAACAAUGUACUUGCAAAUCAACCCUACAAUGCAUGAAGUUCAUAUAUACACAUAUGCUCAAGAAGUGACACUUUAGACAUAAAAGAAAAUUCAAGGAUUUUGGAUAGCACCAUCCACCUCGUAGGGUUGCUAAGAUGCUACGGUUCGAAUUUCGUGAUUUUUAGAUGUCUACUCGCUCGCUUGCGGCAAAACGAAGCCAAAAUAGGCUUUUUCUCCAAUUUCUUUGCGUAGACUCGUCGGAUCUUUGAACCGAGUCUCCCAACGCGUCGAUUUUACCUUCAAUUAGAUUUCUAUAAGGUUAAUUUACAUUUAAACCAACCUAUAGCAAAAGCCCUAAUCUUGGUGCCCUGACAAUGCUCUAUAGCACAUACACCAUGUGGAUCUUGGAGAUAAGCAAAAACAAACUUAAUAUCAUCUAGAGAUCCAUCAAAAAUCAUUCUUAGGGCAUUUGAACCAAACCCUAGAGUUCUACCAUGAGUGCUCAUGAAGCUUACCUCAAAAAACUUCAUUUUCUUGAGCUAAGGAAGAAGAAGAAGAAGUUGCUUCACCUUCUAGCCUUCUUCUCCUCCAAAUCCACCCUCAAAUCUCCUCUUGAUCCACCCCUAAGAGAGAGAGAGAGACUUCUUAGAAGAGAGAGAGCUCCUUUAGGGUUCUUUUGGCUGUGAACAAGAGAUGAGAAGGUGGAGGGGGUUUUAUAAGCUGUUACAACUGCAUUUAAGCCCUUCAGUCUCUUUUAUUUGCAGCAGACUCAACCUGCUAUUCGCAGCACUGCGUACCGGUACGCGGGAUCAUGUCAUAGGUACGCCCCUGUUCAGCUGCCCAAACCCGAGAGCUGCUAUUCUCGGGUUGCUGCGGAGUACCGGUACGCACCAGGGGUGUCACCGGUACGUAGACUCCAGUGACCAAACCUGAGAGCUGCUGUUCUCGGGUUGCUGCGGGGUACCGGUACCAUCCAAGGCUGUCACCGGUACGCAGUGCCCAGACUUCAAUUUUGGCAAUGCUUAGAUUCUAUUUCGCGCCGAGCAAUGCUAAAACUUAUCAAUCUCAUUUGGAACUCAACUUUAACCAUCUCUCUUGACACACUCUGGUCAAUUUGACUAAAGUUCGAUAUAACCUACCGAGAUUCGGUAUAUUACAUAUGGCUUGCACGAGGGCAAGCAACAACCAUCACAAGUGAAAGCAAUCUAGCUAUUACAUCCAUACAUUGUAACUUGAUCACUUUGAAUCAAAUACAAAGCAUACACCUUUUCUUUACAUUCAUCCAAUAUAUAUAUCCAUCUUUCAAAUGAAAUUAUUACAUUUUUCAUUCAUCAACAUAAUAGAUGAAAUAUACAUAAGGUGCCUCUAUACACAACGGUAGUUCGCCGCUAUCUAGAGCAUGAUACCCAUGCCAUGUCCCUAGUCCACUUCGCUCGCGCUAGGACCUGCAUGGUUAGUAGGGUGAGAACUACAACAAAGUUCCCAGUGGGUUCAGCCGCCGACCCCGCCGACCCCGCCGACUCGCCCACUAAGUCUAUUCAGGCAUAUGUAGGUAAAUGAUAGAUAGAUAGCAAACCAACUAAUGCAAAGCUAUUACAAUGCCUGAACAAGUAAUAAAUCCACAAGUGAUAUAAUCAUAAUAAUGAUGCAUGCAUGCUUUUUCACAUUUACCUUGGCUUUUACCCAAUUAACCCGGUUAACACAUGGUUAACCCCAAAACUAACAACCAAAAUCCCUGUCGAUCGGGGAGAAUACUGCUACAACCCGAAAGACCGUCUUCUGGGGAGAAUUCCGCUACACCUAGUGGUGACAACUUCGGAGCACACCGCUUGAGGGGGAGCUACCUCCCUCAAGCCAAGACCCUAUGUGAGUAUGAUCAAAUCCUCAAUUUGAGGACGCAUAGCCAAACUUGCUAUUUUUGCUAUAAAGCCACAAUGCCCAAGGCCACACUUGCCACAAUGCUCAAAAGGAUGUUACCUUGUCUAGUAUAUCACAAACUUGGCCACACUUGCCACAAUGCUCAAAGGUCUCUACCUCAUCUAGCAAAUCAUAUCCUCGGUGCCAAUCAUGCCUGCUAAUGUCAAUGUCACCUUUGUUUAUUAUUGUCAUAGUCCAACAUCUCAUUCAUACAAGUAUAGGGUUCCAACAUACAUGGUUCAUUAUCAAAUUAUAUGUUCACCUACGUAGAAGCAUACAAUUGAAUCCCAAUCAUAAUCACAUAUCACACUACCCUAUCAUGCAUGAAUGCUACAACACAUAUAUGCUCAAAAGAAGGCGAUAUAAACAUAAUGAGAAAUUCAGUGAUUUCGGAUAGCACCCCCCACCUCAAAAUGAUGCAAGGAGGUUAGAAUUCAAGUUCCAGGAUUUAUGGUCGCCGAUUACCCUCGACCCACGACAGACGAAGCCGAAAUGAGGUUUUUCCCACAUAUCUCGACGUAGACUCGUCGGAUCUUCAAACCGAGUGUUCCUACGCGUCAGUUUAUCCACCAAUCACAGCUACAAGAGAUCAAACUCAAGUUAGAUCUCAUAGUUAACAAAACCCCAAUUUCUAACCCUAAGGUUUUCAUCUUUACCAAAUAACCCCAAAUCUCAUGGAGAUUCAUGUUUAAAUCCACCGUAACAUCUCCUAGAAGCUAGAUCUAGAAGGAAAUAACCAAACCCUAAACAUAAAACCCUUAAACCACACAAUACUUAUCUCAAACCAAGCUCUCUUCCAAGCUAAGGUUGCACAAGAGGGUUGCUUCACCUCCAAGCAAGCUCUACUCCACCAUUUCUCCACCAUUGGAGCCACCUAAGGAGAGAGAGAGAGAGAAAUCUAGAGAGAGAAAGAGGGUUUCUAUUUGUGUUGGAGUAGAGAGAAAUGAGGGCCAAACCACAUAGAACCCACAUAUAAACACUCCACUUGACACAAUUGCACUUAGCCCCUUCCAAAUAACAGGGCUCCACUCAACCCACCUCUGCACGUGUUCGGGGUCCGGACCCUAUCAGCCCGAAAAUUUCAGAACUUCUUCCAACAUGCUCUCCAAGGUCCAAACACCUAUAUUCAUCAUUCCGAAGCAUCCAGAAUAUCAACGGAACUUUCCAACUCAUCCAUUACCAUGCUUUGAUCAAUUUUGACGGAAGUUCAGUAGAACCUAUUGGGGAAUCGGUAUGUUACACCAAAACCUGCAGUUUGCAGAUUUUGGUGCUAAGUACCCACUCUCGCUUCUCAAGACGCAAGUAAUAGGUCGGAACACAAUCCACGGCCCUCAAACACACCAAAAAUAGUACUAAAUACCAUUCGAACACUAGAACCUUGCAAUUUGCUAAAGUUCAGUGUGCUACAACGGAUGUGUUGGCGGGCCCAGGGAAUGUGGUAAUCCGGGGCCUGACAUUCCCCGUGGCUAUUCAUAGUAGUGAUUUCUAGUUGCUUCCUUCUAAAAGCGGAGUGCAGCCGUCUCACCCUUCGUUGAGUCUGAUCCUUAGACAUGAAAAGGCUAAAGGGCAAUUCUUAUGGUAGCUCCCUAUUUAUGAGACAUUUUUGGCAUGCAUCUUUAUUCUCUUUUUCCACCCCUAAUUGCUUCUUGGGCACUGAUAGAGCGUGUUGUUUUGACAACAAGUUCAUUUUGAGACAUAUAGCUUUGUUGGGUCGUUAAUCUUCUUUGGUUAUUUCGGCCAAACAUAUCACUCAUAGUUGAGAAUGUUCAUUUUGCUCUGCUGAUUGCUUUUUGAAAUUAUGUUCUUCUUCUAAAGAUUUGGUAACAAUGCCUUUUCCUUUGAAAUCCACGAAGAAGGUUAUUAUCAACAACCGUAUCUUUUUAUUUUUUUGGUCGACAAAUGUAAGUCGACUAUCCAAAAUUUCCUUCUGGAAUUUCUUUCGGAAGGAAAUACAAUCAAUUUUCCUGUGGCUCCAGAAAUAGUGCCAUGUGCAAUACAUCUUCUCGUAAAGUUGUGAUGCCCUACUUCCUAGGGGGUCAUCCAUCCUAGAACUACUCUAGCCCUUGCAACUCCUAGAGUAAUUCAAAUAGAACUCUGAUGGAUGUAUAUUUCACCACUGGUGAGAAAACAUCAUUGAAGUCAACAUCCGGAGUGUCACGCCCCGGGAUCGAUGCCAAUUUGACCCGACCCGAGCACGUCAAACAGACGCCGAACGGACAGAGUUUCCCCUAUCCGCCCAAGGCUCAUCACAUGUACAUUUUCAUCAAUAGAGAAAUGUACUAGCGGAAGCAUACACAAACGGCUUACACGAGGGUAAGCAAUAGCCAUUAGUGAAAGAAANGGUCUCUCCCUUCAGGGACCGGUCCCCGAGAGCUGAAAAUCUGCAGUUUUGCAGAAUUCAAUUCUUUAGCUCUCGAAAACCUUCCACAACUCACUUUUACUUAUUUAAACACCUUCGGACUUUCCGAAGUGUACCGUCCUCGCACUUUGGUCAAUUUGACUAAAGUUCGACAUUUUUAUUUUUCGAAUUUUCGGUAUAUUACACGGAGUUUCUAUCCUUUUGCAACCAAACGUGCCUUAUAUCUGACACUCUUAACUCCCGGAGUGCCUUCCCUUUUCUUAAACACCUAUUUACAGCGAACAGCUUUCUUUCCCUUUCGAAGCUUCGCCAGAUCCCGAGUUUGAGUCUUAUGAAGAGUUUCCAUCUCUUCCUCUAGUGAGCAACCAUUUUGUGGAAUCACUACAUGAAACCGCCUCUGUAUAAGUACUAGGCUCUUCAAAGGAUUCUGUUUCUUCAGCAGUCACAAAAGCUUAAGCCACCAAGUUUGUUUUUUCAUAUAUCUGUGGUAGUCUGAUCUCCCUUCUCAGUUAAUCUCUAGCUAUAGAAUAUGUGUUUGUCUAUGGUGGCACCUGUGGUUCUGUAGGAGUAGAAUCGCUUGAAGUAGUACGUAAUGCUGGAGUGAUUUGACUUUUAUAGUUAGUUUGGAACUCCAUUUUGAUAGUUUUCUUUAAUGCAUCUGCAUUUGCACUUGUACCUAUAUCACAAGAAACACGCGACUCCCCCUUUUGGCAAAGCAUAGCAGUUUUGUUAAACUUAACAUCUAUGCUAAUAAUAACUUUGUUAUCUUUAGGGCACCACAGCCUAAAACCUUUAGUAUCGGAAGCAUAUCCUAGAAAUUUGCACUCUUUAGAUCCGGGUUUCAACUUCCCUUGACUGACAUAAGUAUAAACCAGACAAUCAAAAAUUUUCAAAUUAGAAUAUUUUGGAGGGUGCCUAGACCAUAUCUUUUCUAGAAUAUUCAAAUUAAUGAAAGUGGAUAGAGACUAAUUCACAACAUAGGAAGCCGUAGAAGUAGCCUCUGCCCAUAACUCCUGACUGAAUCCUACACUCAAGAGCAUGCAUCUUGUUUACUCAAUCAACGUUCUGUUCACACGUUCUCCCAUGCCAUUUUAUUGCUAUGUUGGGCUACUAUACGAUAUCUGUAACGUAUCACUUCCCUGAGAAAUCGUGCCGAGUUCCGUCGAAAUGAGCGGAACACGGAGUGGAAACGAGAUGGAAUGGAUUCUAAGUGUUUUGGAACCUUAGUAUGGUGUAAAGGGACCCGGGAGAGUGAAAUUUGGGAAAAUGGUUAAGUCCCAGAAUUUCAGCUCUCGGGGACCGGUCCCUGAGGGGAGAGACCGGUCCCCGUAGGCUGAAAAAUUGUCCAACGGCUAAGUUCUAAAAAUUGUGCUCUCGGGAACCAGUCCCUGGAGGAGAGACCGGUCCCCGUGCGCGUAGCCAGCCAAAAAGAUAAAAUUUUGGCUAAGUCCUGAGAGUGGUGCUCUUGGGGACUGGUCCCUGUGGGGAGAGACCGGUCCCCGUAAGCAAGGAAUUUUCCCUAGCGGCUAAGCCCUGGAAAACCUACUCUUUGGGACCGGUCCCUGCGGGGAGAGACCGGUCCCCGUAUGCGAAAAAUGCCCAGGUUGGGCUGAUGUGAAAAAAUGAAAGUUGAGGGGUUCAAGUGCAAUUUUGGCUAAGUGAGAGUGUAUAGAGGUGAGAGUUAGGGUUAGCUCUCAUUUCUCUCAACCCUACAAAAGAAAUAUCUUUCUCUCUCUCUAAAAACCCUCUUUUUCUCUCUCCUUGUCUCUAGAAUUUGGAUCAAAGGGAGGAGUUUGGAGGAGCAAGCUUGGAGAAGAAGCUUUCCAAGGUGAAGGCAAGCUUGUGCAAGUGCUUUUGAAGGAAAGCUUUGGACUCUAAAGGUAAGUUCCAUGAUUAGAGUUAGGAUUUUGGGUAAUAGCUUCUUGUAUCAGUAUCUAGGAGCUUCUAUGUUAGAUUUCCUCCAUGUGUAUGCAAGCUAGGGGCUUGUUUGGAGAAGAUGACAUUGUACGAGGACCUAAAGUUAGGGUUUUGAGAUUUUGAGGUCGAAGCUUGGAUUUGAUUUCUUUUUAACCUAAUUGGUAGGUCAACGAACGCGUUGGUGCACUCGGUUCGGUGAUACGACGAGUGUACGCGAAGAUAUUGAGAAAAGAAGCUAAAUUGGUACAGAUUGCCACAGCUCGCGGCGUAAGCGUCUAAAAAUCGUGAAAACAAGACCGCGGCAUCCUAGCAUACCCACAGGUGGCGGGUGCUGUUCGGAAACACCGGAUUUCUCUCUAUGUCUAUGUUACCUUCUUUGAGCAUAUUGAUGUUAGCAUUCAUGCAUGUAGGGUAGUGUGAUAUGUGUUCUUGGUUGAAAUGCAUUUAGAUGCUUAAAGAAUAUGUGAAUUGAUAAAGAACCAUGUAAACCAUGUAUGAAAGAACUCUAUGUAUAUGUGAAUGCGAUAACGGACUAUGACAAUAGUAAACAAAGGUGACAUUGAUAUUAGUGACCAGAUUGGCAUCGAGAAUGUAAAUGACUAAACAAGGUUUAGCUUAUUAUGGCAUCAGGACUAUUGUGGCUCAGGUAUAAUGGAAAUGUGAUAUGGUAAUAACCUAUCAUGGGCAUCGAGAAUUUAUGUAAUGCGACAGGUUUGGCUACGUCCUCAAAUUGAGGAUUGGAUCGUACUCACACAUUGGUUUCGGCUUGAGAAAGGUAGCUCCUCCUCAAGCGGUGUACUCCGGAGUGUAGACACCACGGGGAGAGUACCCCGGCAAAGAUCCCUCGGGUGGUUGAGCCUUGUGCCUCCUUCGGUAGACGGAAUGUGUGGAUUGUGAGUUUGGGGUAAACCAGGAGCACCCCGGGAUGAUUGGGUAAAGGCCAAAGAGCAUGAGACAUGAACAUGCAUGCAUAAUUAUCAUAUAUUGGAUUAUUUAUCUAUCUGCUGACUACUUUCUUGCAGGCAUUAUAUUAGUAGUGCAUUAGUUGGUUUGUUAUCUACUUUCUUGAAAUACAUAUGCCUGAAUAAACCUAGUGCGCGAGUCGGCGCGGUCGGCGGCCGAACCCACUGGAAACUUCGUUUAGUUCUCACACCACUACUAACCCUGCAUAUCCAUGAGUGAGCGGGGCGGCGGAGGAUCGAGGCAAGGCGCUAGCACCAUAGAUAGCGGCCCUCGGAGUAUAGGCAUUUCCUAUAUAUAUUCAACUUUUGUAUGUUGAACUAGAAACGGUAAAAUGAUGUAAACCUUUAUUUUGGUUAACGACAAAUGUGAUGUAAAUGUGAAUGAAUGGAAAGAAUGAAUGUAAAUAAUGGUUUACUUGUGUUUGAUUCAAAUGUAAUCGUAUGACAUGUAUGUGGAUAAAUGUUUAGUUAGUUUCGAUGCUUUCACAUGUGAAUAAGUUGUUGUUUGCCCUCGUGCAAACCUUGUAUAAUUGCAUUCAUCCUGUAUUGAAUUGCUUGUAUUAUACAUGUUGAUUAGAGCCUUCGGCGGACAGGGGAGGUGCUGUUCGUUCGGCUUCUGUCGGCGUGCCCGAACCGACCAAAUUGGCGGCCUCGGGGCGUGACAGAUAGUUUGGUAUUAGAGCGAGUGAAAGCAAAAGUCUAGGAUGGACUUAGGGACCUUAGGAUUGGAGACCUUAAGGACUUAGGAGACAUUUGACAUGGACAUGGAAAUGCGAAGGCUAAUUGAUUGGGUUAUGAUUAGAACUUCUCUAAAAGGAGUUAGAGAUGGAUUCAAGUAAUCAUUUGUUUUCUUCUUGAAGUGUUAUGUGGGCGGCCGACUAUAUAACGCCGAGAGUUGAAAAUGAGUACGCUUGUUUGCUUUCACUUAAUUGGGUAGUUGUUUGGAAGGUGUAAGAGUUACGCGUGUCGAGUAUUAACGUGUGUUUCAUUUCAGGAGCUAAUGUCCCCGAGACGUUAUACGCGUAGGUCCGCUCCGGCAUUACCUGAUGAAGUGCCCGAGCAAGUUGGAUCUGAUGAAGUCCGAGAGUUGCGGGCCCAAGUAGCGGCUUUGGCCGGGGCUAUGCGACAGCAAGGGGAGCAGAUAGGACGACUCCAUGAGUUGGUGGCUCAACAGGCGGCGGCGGCUGCACCUGUACCUCAGGACCCACCCACACCUGUAGCACCUACUCCGACGGUGGCGGCGGCACUGGUGACAGCUAUUCCUCCGACGGCUUCGGGUACUUCGGCUCCUAUCCCGGAGGUACUUUAGGCCAAGCAGGAGCGGUCGUUUGUGGUGUUGACGGCCUUUAAGCGGUUCAAUCCUCCGACGUUCCAGGGUGAUGUGAAGGAUCCUUGGUUAAUAGAGGCGUGGCUUUCAGUGAUGGAGGCGUUAUUCAAGGAUGUCUACACCCUCGGGAAGGAUAAAGUACGCAUGGCGGCUCACUGUUUAGAGGGGUCGGCUCGAGUGUGGUAGACACGAGUUAAGAAUGGGCGAUCUUUGGAUCCUGCUUCCAUGACUUUGGAGGCAUUUCGGGAGUUGUUGCUUAUGGAGUACUUUCCAGAAAGCGACAAGCGGAAGAUCAAGGAGGACUUUCGCAAAUUAAGGCAAGGAAGCCAAUCUAUGCGGGAGUACGAAAGGGAGUUCUCGCACAUGGUUGAUUGCGUUUCAAGCUUAGUUCAUGGAGAUCGGGACCGAGAGGAGGUCUUCGAGCGCGGAUUGCGGCUGGAAAUAUUCAAGAUUAUUCAUGCGCUCCGGUUGAAGACCUAUGAGGACGUGCUGGAUCGCGUGCUAUGGGUAGAGCGCGGCAACACCAUUGCGCGUGAGGAACCGAGGCGUUUGAAAGGGACAGGGACAAGGACAAGGAGAAGUCAAAGAAGCGACCGGCUGGUGGUUCCGUAGGGCAGUAGAGUUCUAAGCGACCCCCUCGGUACCCUAGACCGCAGAGACGGGGAGGUAGAAGCCAGUCAAGGGGUCAGAUAACUUCCUUUUCGUGUGUGAUUUGCGGCGAAAAUCACAAGCCAAGUGAUUGUUCUCAGCAUGACGAGAGGUGUUUCCAAUGUGGCCAAGCGGGACACAUGAGUUCGGAUUGCCCGGGCAACGCGUCACCUGCCUCGUCAGCUGCUUCGGCUUAGUAUGCACCACGACAGCUUGUAGGACUGCCACCUGCUAUGUCGGCUGGGCGCGCGUCAGCCGGAGGGAUCACGUGCACCGAGUGGACGUAUUUUCGCCACUCAAGUGGAGGAGCAGCUUGCCGUACCCGACGACGUCGUGGCAGGUAUUAUUUUGAUUAAUAGCAUUAGAGCAAGAGCAUUGUUUGACACGGGUGCAUCACAUUCAUUUAUUAGUGCAUCGUUUGCUAAGACUCAUGGCAUGAAAAUAGUGCAUAACCAUGAUUAUUGGUGGGUUAACGCACCAGAGCAUUCGUUUAGAGUUCACGAGGAGUGCCUAACUUGUCUUGUUCAGAUCGGCGAGUGGAUCAUGCCAGCGAAUUUGCUAGUGUUGAAGCAGAUGUGGGGAUUUGAUGUUAUCUUAGGAGUUAAUUGGCUCUCCAAGUACUAUGCCAGCAUUGACUGUGACAGUAAUGUGAUCACUUUUCGUGACCUGGUCAAGAGGAGUUGGUGUAUCAAGCGUGUAAAAGCUCGCGCUUCACGGCGACCGUGUCGGCGGCGAGGGCGAGAAAGAUGAUCAAAAGCGGAUGUGUGGCCUAUUUGGCGACCAUGGUAGAGGCUCGAAAGGAGCAUCCGGAACUUGGAAAUAUCCGAGUUGCGUGUGAGUUUUCGGAUGUGUUUCCGGCGGAGUUACUGGGAUUGCCACCGGAUCGGGAGAUCGAGUUCGUCAUUGACUUGAUUCCCGGGGCAGCACCGAUUUUGAAGGCUCCGUAUAGAAUGGCACCGGCGGAGCUUAAGGAGUUAAAGGCCCAGUUGCAAGACUUGCUCGACAAAGGUUUUGUUAGGCCGAGCGUGUCACCGUGGGGAGCUCCGGUGCUGUUUGUAAAGAAGAAGGACGGUACACUUCAACUCUGCGUUGAUUAUCGAGUUGAAUAAAGUGACAGUCAAGAACAAAUACCCGUUACCGAGAAUAGACGACCUGUUUGAUCAGUUGCAAGGGUUGCGGGUAUACUCGAAGAUAAACCUUCAGUCGGGAUAUCACCAAUUGAAGAUCCGGCCGAAGGAUAUGCACAAGACGGCGUAUCAUACGCGGUACGGCCACUAUGAGUUUACGGUAAUGCCUUUCGGGCUUACUAAUGCCCCAGCAGUGUUUAUGGACCUAAUGAAUCGGGUCUUUUGACCGCUAUUGGAUAAAUGCGCCGUGGUGUUUAUCGACGACGUAUUGGUGUAUUCGCGGAGUGAGGAAGAACACGAGGAACAUUUGAGAACCGUGUUGCAAAUACUCCGGAACGAGAAGCUUUAUGCUAAGCUUAAGAAGUACGAGUUUUGGCUUUCAGAGGUAACCUUCUUGGGCCAUGUGAUUUCCGGGAGUGGAGUCUCGGUAGAUCCAAGGAAGAUUGAGGCGAUUAGAGAUUGGCCUCAUCCGACGAGUGUGGCGAAAGUCCGUAGUUUUCUCGGAUUGGUGGGCUAUUAUCGACGUUUUGUUGAGGGGUUUGCGAGGUUAACUACUCCUCUCACAUGCCUAACGCACAAAGGAGUCAGAUUUGUCUGGAGCGACGGUUGCGACCAAAGCUUCCAAGAGCUAAAAGAGAAGUUGACGUCUACCCCGGUACUUGCUUUGCCGAUGCCGAGAGAGAACUUCGUGGUGCAUAGUGAUGCUUCCUAUAGUGGUCUCAGGUGUGUUCUUAUGCAAAAUGGGCGAGUCAUUGCGUAUGCAUCGCGCCAGCUGAAGAGCUAUGAGAAGAACUACCCGAUACAUGAUCUCGAAUUAGCGGCUGUUAUUUUCGCGCUAAAGCUAUGGAGGCACUACCUCUAUGGUGAGCAUUGUGAGGUAUAUACCGAUCACAAAAGCCUCAAGUACUUGUUCACCCAGAAAGAGUUAAACAUGCGGUAGCGGCGGUGGUUGGAGUUAUUGAAGGAUUAUGACCUUACUAUCCUAUACCACACCGGAAAGGCUAAUGUGGUUGCUGAUGCACUAAGUAGAAAAUCUGUUGAGAACUUGGCGACGAUAAUUACUAGUCAACCGUUGUUGCAGAAGGAAAUGCAAUGGUUUGGAUUAGAAGUAGUGGCGCCGGAGGUUUCGACUAUCUGGGCAGCGCUAGUGGUUCGACCGACCUUAUUGGAACGAAUUAAGGAGCGGCAAGUGGAUGAUCCGUAUCUCCAAAAGGUGCGAAUGACAUUGACGGCGGACACGCCGGUGACUUCAGCGUGGGAUCCGAUGGUGCACUUCGGUUCAGAAACCGGUUGUGUGUGCCCAAGGAUGAUGAAGUCCGUAAGAUAGUGUUGUAAGAGGCGCAUCAUUCUCCGUAUAGUAUUCACCCGGGCGGCACCAAAAUGUAUAAGGACUUAAAGCUACAUUAUUGGUGGCCGGGUAUGAAGAGAGACAUUGGGGAGUUUGUGGCGCAGUGUUUGACGUGCCAACAAGUGAAGGCCGAGCGUCGAUUUUCUGCGAAAAAGUUGCAGAGCUUACCAAUCCCCGUGUGGAAAUGGAAGGACAUAGCAAUAGACUUUGUGGUCGGAUUACCCCGAUUGCAAGCUUGACAUGAUGCCAUAUGGGUGGUUGUGGACCGUUUGACGAAGUCGGCUCAUUUCUUGCCGAUCCACACCACGCGGUCCGGAGACAAGUUAGCACAAGUCUACUUGGAUGAGAUAGUGAGAUUGAAUGGGGUUCCUGCGUCGAUUGUAUCGGAUCGAGACCCCCGGUUCACUUCUCAUUUUUGGAAGAGCUUGCAGGAUGCUCUAGGCACGCGGCUCGAUUUCAGUACGGCGUUUCAUCCUCAAAGUGAUGGCCAGUCAGAGAGGACAAUUCAAAUACUCGAGGAUAUGUUGCGAGCGUGUGUACUCGAUUACAGUGGAGGGUGGCAUGAGCAUUUGCCGAUGGCAGAGUUCGCUUACAAUAACAGUUAUCAAGAAAGUAUAGCGAUGGCGCAGUUUGAGGCAUUUUAUGGGCGUAAGUGUUGCUCUCCUAUCCAUUGGAGCGAGGUGGGUGAAAGAGUCGCCCUUGGUCCGGAUGUGGUGCGAGAGGCGGAAGAGAAAGUCCGUCUUGCUCGCCAACGGUUGUUGACGGCACAAUCGUGGCAACGAAGCUAUGCGAAUAAGCGCCGAAAGGAUUUGGAAUUCGCGGUUGGUGACCGUGUGUUUCUCAAAGUGUCACCAAUGCGCUGGGUGAAGUAGUUCGGCAUUCGGGGGAAGCUUAGUCCCCAGUAUAUUGGCCCGUAUGAGAUUCUAGAACGGAUUGGGCCGGUAGCGUACAAGUUGGCAUUACCGCCGAAGCUUGCGGGAGUGCAUAAUGUAUUCCACGUAUCGAAUCUCCGUAAGUAUUUCCGGAACUCCUCACAUGUGUUGGAGUAUGAGCCGGUGGAGUUGCACGAGGAUGUUACUUAUAAAGAGUUUUCAGUGAGCGUUCUUGCUCGAGAGGAGCAGAAGCUACGGAAUCGGACUAUUCCGUAUGUAAAGGUGCAGUGGAGUAAUCACUCGAGGCGUGAGUCCACGUGGCAACUCGAGGAGAAGAUGCGUGAGGUGUAUCCUCGCUUGUUCGAGCAAAUGAACUAAGGUACUUGUUGAGUUUCGCAGACGAAACUAUCUUUAAGGGGUGGGGAAUGUAACGUAUCACUUCCCCGAGAAAUCGUGCCGAGUUUCGUCGAAAUGAGCGGAACGCGGAGUGGAAACGAGAUGGAAUGGAUUCUAAGUGUUUUGGAACCUUAGUAUGGUGUAAAGGGACCCGGGAGAGUGAAAUCUGGGAAAAUAGUUAAGUCCCAGAAUUUCAGCUCUCGGAGACUGGUCCCUGAGGGGAGAGACCGGUCCCCGUAGGUUGAAAAAUUGCCCAACGGCUAAGUUCUAAAAAUCGUGCUCUCGAGAACCGGUCCCUGGAGGAGAGACCGGUCUCUGUGCGCGUAGCCAGCAAAAAGAUGAAAAUUUGGCUAAGUCCUGAGAGUGGUGCUCUCAGGGACCGGUCCCAGCAGGGAGAGACCGGUCCCCGUAAAAGGAAUUUUCCCCAGCGGCUAAGUCCUGAAAAACCAACUCUCGGGGACCAGUCCCUGCGGGGAGAGACCGGUCCCCGUAUGCGAAAAAUGCCCAGGUUGGGCUGAUGUGAAAAAAUGAAAGUUGAGGGGUUCAAGUGCAAUUUUGGCUAAGUGAGAGUGUAUAGAGGUAAGAGUUAGGGUUAGCUCUCAUUUCUCUCAACCCUACCAAAGAAAUAUCUUUCUCUCUCUCUUAGAACCCUCUUUCUCUCUCUCAUUCUCUCUAGAACUUGGAGCAAAGGGGGGAGUUUGGAGGAGCAAGCUUGGAGAAGAAGCUUUCCAAGGUGAAGGCAAGCUUGUGCAAGAGCUUUUGAAGGAAAGCUUUCGACUCUAAAGGUGAGUUCCAUGAUUUGAGUUAGGGUUUUGGGUAAUAUCUUCUUGUAUGAGUAUCUAGGAGCUUCUAUGUUAGAUUUCCUCCAUGUGUAUGCAAGCUAGGGGCUUGUUUGGGGAAGAUGACAUUGUACGAGGACCUAAAAUUAGGGUUUUGAGAUUUUGAGGUCGAAGCUUGGAUUUGAUCUCUUUUUAACGUAAUUGGUAGGUCAACAAACGCGUUGGUGCGCUCGGUUCGGUGAUACGACGAGCAUACGCGAAGAUAUUGAGAAAAGAACCUAAAUUGGUACAGAUUGCCGCAGCUCGCGGCGUAAGCGUCUAAAAAUCGUGAAAAUAGGACCGCGGCAUCCUAGCAUACCCGCAGGUGGGGGGUGUUGUCCGGAAACACCGGAUUCUCUCUAUGUCUAUGUUACCUUCUUUGAGCAUAUUGAUGUUAGCAUUCAUGCAUGUAGGGUAGUGUGAUAUGUGUUCUUGGUUGAAAUGCAUUUAGAUGCUUAAAGAAUAUGUGAAUUGAUAAAGAACCAUGUGAACCAUGUAUGAAAGAACCCUAUGUGUAAGUGAAUACGAGAACGGACUAUGACAAUAGUAAACAAAGGUGACAUUAACAUUAGUGACCAGAUUGGCAUCGAGAAUGUAAAUGACUAAACAAAGUUUAGCUUAUUGUGGCAUCAAAACCAUUGUGGCUUAGGUAUAAUGGAAAUGUGAUAUGGUAAUUACCUAUCAUGGGCAUCGAGGCUUUAUGCAAUGAGACAGGUUUGGCUACGUCCUCAAAUUGAGGAUUGGAUCAUACUCACACAUUGGUUCCGGCUUGAGAGAGGUAGCUCCUCCUUAAGCGAUGUACUCCAGAGUGUAGACACCACGGGGAGAGUACCCCGGCGAAGAUCCCUCGGGUGGUUGAGCCUUGUACCUCCCCCAGUAGACGGGAUGUGUGGAUUGUGAGUUUGGGGUAAACCAGGAGCACCCCGGGAUGAUUGGGUAAAGGCCAAAGAGCAUGAGACAUGAACAUGCAUGCAUAAUUAUCAUGUAUUGGAUUAUUUAUCUAUCUGCUGACUACUUUUUUGCAGGCAUUGUAUUAGUAACGCAUUAGUUGGUUUGUUAUCUACUUUCUUCAAAUACAUAUGCUGAAUAGACCUAGUGGGUGAGUCGGCGCGGUCGGCGGCCGAACCGACUGGGAACUUCAUUUAGUUCUCACACCACUACUAACCCUGCAGAUCCAUGCGCGAGCGGGGCGGCGGAGAAUCGAGGCAAGGGGCUAGCGCCAUAGAUAGCGGCCCUCGGAGUAUAGGCAUUUCCUAUAUAUAUUCAACUUUUGUAUGUUGAACUAGAAACGUUAAAAUGAUGUAAACCUUUAUUUUGGUUAAAGGCAAAUGUGAUGUAAAUGUGAAUGAAUGGAAAGAAUGAAUGUAAAUGAUGGUUUACUUGUGUUUGAUUCAAAUAUAAUCAAAUGACAUGUAUGUGGAUAAAUGUUUAGUUAGUUUCGAUGCUUUUACAUGUGAAUAAGUUGUUGUUUGCCCUCGUGCAAACCUUGUAUAAUUGCAUUCAUUCUGUAUUGAAUGCUUGUAUUAUACAUGUUAAUUAGAGCCUUGGGCGAAUAGGGGAGGUGCUGUGUCACGCCCCGCGACCAACCGCCAAUUUGGACUGGGUCGCGGCGCCGACGACAGACCGCCGAACGGACCGGGGUUUCCCCUGUACGCGGACAGAGUCUCCCCUGUACGUUCUAGGCGUCGCAACCAAAACAAUCAACGAAUGUUCCAACAAGGAACGGAUACCAAUCCAGAUUGCAAAGGAAGUAUCAAAUACAUAAAACUAACUGCUAUUACAAGCAUUCAUUUUCAUUCACUUAGUACAUCUCAAUUCAGUUUACAUUUUACUUCCAAUUACAAUCAUUUAUUUUACAAGUUUGAUACUUCUUGGUUCUUGCCUUCUAGUCCCCUAAGCUAGACUGCCCCAGGGUACUGCUACCUCGGUCUCUGUGGUAGGGCGCUAUCUACUGAGCUACGCCCUAGCCUUGCCCUAGCCUUGCGCCACCGCGCUGCACACGUACAACUUGAAAAUACCCCAAAACCACGUGGGGUGAGAACCAACUCCAUGGUUCCCAGUGGGUAUGGCCAUCCAAGGGAAAAGCUCGACCGAUAGGUCCAAGGAGGCACUGCAACAUGUUAGUUCAACAAUAUACAACAGAUAUAUAUAUUCAAUUGAAAUACAUGCCAUGCCUCACGAUAUGCGAUAUGAAAAUCAUGCAACUUUAUGCAACAACUAGUAGAUCAUCUGAUCCUACUCAUUACUUAGCUACUCUCAGCUAUAUCUUUACUCUAAGGUUUCUAUUACCGUAGGAUCUCAACUCAGUCCACUGGCUCCCAAGGUCUCUAUUGCCUUAGCUCAAGCCUCUAUCUCUAGCUCAUAAGGGUUCCUCUACCCUAUCGAAGCUAACCACUCGACUCGGCUUCGAGUCAAUCAUCCGCGGAUAGCCCGCGCACCGGCUGCUCAUCAGUCUACCGCCCUCUCUCUCUCAGCCCCCUAGCGGCGAAGUCGUCGCACACGCUAAGCUCGGCUCCAGUCGCACGACUUGACCAACCAGUGGCGAUCACGUUGCACUUACCCAGCGUGAGCUCGAGUCCUGACACACCGUCUGGCAGCGAACAGAUCGCACCACAGCCAAAAACGGUACAUGUCAGACCCCGCCACUUGGAGACACCCGCAUCGUACUUAUCCAGCAUGGAUUCAGUCUGCUCUGGCGGUCUGAUCCUCAAAUGGCUCAACCAUCCUGGCGGCGAAAUCGUCGCACAAACGCCACGGUAAUGGUUCAAGCCCCGGGCGGUGAUCUCCAUGUGAUCGCCCCCAAUCCUCCCUCGGUACCAAGCUCGGCGGCGAAGUCGUCGCACAAACGCCCUAGCUUCUACCAUGGUCAUCACAAGUCAUGGGAUUCCAGAAUCCACUUUCCACAGGUCGAGGGUCCAUAGCCAACCCUAUGCUUUCGACCUAUCUCAUCCUAGUGGCUAUACCACUAUGCUCAUCAACCUAGGUUCCAAUACUCUAGGUUCUAUGUCCAUGUCACUUAACCUAGAUACACUUGCUAGGUUCUUGUCAUCAUUGCCUAGAUGUCCACUUCUAGGUUUACUAGUUCGACCUAGGUUCACUAGCACUAGGUUCGAUACCACACCUAGAUUGUUCGACUCUAGGUUCACUUGUUUAACCUAUGUUCUUUAACACUAGGUUAGAUGCCACUCGAUCUACCUGACAACCUAGUUGUCCAAUCAUCUUAGCUAACACUAGAGUUAUUAUCUCAUGCUCUCUACUUGGCAUUUACUCUAUGCAUCUUUAUUCAUCAUGCAGUCUAUUUACUUAGCCUUUACUUUAUGCAUAUUUAUUAAUGCACCGUUUAGUCUUGUCUACAUGCACAUACAUCAACAUGAGAUUACAUUUCUAAGACAUAAAGAGCGACCUAGUCGCUUCGGUAAGCACAACCCACCAUAGUUAGCUUCCCGAUUGCUUGUCGACACUUGCAAUCGGCCUCCCGCGGCACCCGGCACCCGUCACCCGUUUGGGCCCGAUCUUACAAUUGCUCCCCAAGAGCGCGCCGCUUCGCCGUUUCAAGUGCUAGCGAUCUUUGCCUUGCCGCUAUGGUGCUCGGGAUCCGAUUUCACGAUUUAUGGAUGUCGCCUCGGCCUCCCAGACGGAAACGAAGCUCCGAGCGCCCGUUUCUUCAAUAUCUUUCCAACGGCUUGUCGGAUUGCCGAACCGACUUCGCCAACGAGUUUCGUUACCUACCAAUUAGGUUUACGAAGGGUCAAAUGAGAUCGAACUCAUCUAUUUACAAAAACCCCACUUGGAUGCCCUAGAAUGCCAUCACCAACAAAUCCGCCAAAUCAAUCUAUGAUUUGGGUAUAAUCCAUCAAAAUAGCAUGCUAGGGUUCCAAACAAACCAUUUCUAGAGAUCAAAACCCUAUCUUUAAGGAUUUACCAUAAGAAGCCAUGAAACUUACCUCUCAAAGAGCUCCACGGAGAGAAGAAGAAGAUGAAGAUGAAGAUGAGGAAGAGGAUCUCCUCCUAGGUCCUCUCCUUCUUCUCCUUUCCUUCCUCUUUUUCAUCUUCCCUUCUCUUUUCUCUUUUCUUUCUUUCCUUUCUUUUCCCCUUCGCACGAUCAGAGGGAGAGAGAGAGAGUGGCUGAGGGAGUGAGAGAGAGAGGAAAAGAUCUCUCUCUAAUACCCUCUCUCAUUUUGUAACAAUAUCCCCAAAGGCCCCUCAACUUUUCACCUCUUACACAGCCUUUACUGGGCGUUCUGCGCGCUGAGGGACCGGUCUUCCCGACCUGGGACCGGUCCUCGGGGCCUCCCCCGCGGGCACGCGUUCGGGAACCGGUCCCUCCCUGAGAGACCGGUCCUCGGGAAACCGGUUCCUCUCAGAGAGACCGGUUCCCGAGAGCUGAACUUUCGGGACUUAGUCGAUUUUCGACUCUUCUCACUGGUGUCGCAGGCUGGGACCGGUCCCUCCUCUGCCAGGGACCGGUUGCAUCAGCAACCUCGCAGUCUCCAGCUGAUGGGACCGGUCUCUCACCUCCAGAGACCGGUCCUCGAGAGCAACCUCAGCCCAAAAAUGUAGAUUGCAUUACUUGCUCUCGCGGACUCCAUUCCAAUGCACUUCUUGGGUUUCAUGCACCAUUAGCUUUUCCAAAGCUUAUCAACUCGACCCUUGGUCGAUUCUGGACGAAGCACGACUCUCGGAUUUGGAGAAUUCCUGGGUAUGACAUGCUGUCCGUUCGGCGUCUGUCGGCGGGCCCGAACCGACCAAAUUGGCGGCCUCGGGGCAUGACAAUAUCUUUCGAUUCCUUCAUUCCUACAGAACUCAUUGAAUUUCCCUGAAUAGAACUCCAAACCAUUGUUGGUGCGACGACGCUUAAUUUGUUUCUUCUCUGUUUCUUAAUCAAAUUCUUCCGCUGCUUGAAGGUCUUGAAUACAUCACUCUUCUGCAAAAGAAAGAAUAUCCAUACCUUCCUGGAGUAGUCAUCUAUAAAGGUCAACAUAUGUCUUGCUCCACCUUUAGAGGGCACCUGUGCUGCCCCCCAAAGAUCUGAAUGGAUGUAAUCAAGUGUUCCAUUGGUUCUGUGGACUGCUUUGUUGAAGCUUACCCUCUUCUGCUUUCCAAGAACACAGUGUUUUGCAUAAUUCCAGACUACCAGUAUUUUGGCCAUAAUGGAGUCCUCUUUUGCUCAGCACUGUCAAUCCUCUUUCGCUCAUAUGUCCCAGCCUCAUAUGCCAUAAUUUUGUGACAUCUAAAUCGGACAUAGAUGAAGAGAAAACUGCAACUUCACCUGUCACUGUUGAACCGUGCAGCAUGUAUAGUUUUCCUUCUGGCUUUUGAUCUUUCAUCACAAUGAUAGCUUCUUUAACAACUUUCAGAAUUCCAUCUUCACCUGUGAACUUAUAUCUUUUAGACUCGAGUAUACUCAAGGAGAUUAAAUUCCUCUUUAGCCAUGAAAUGUAUCUGACAUCAGUGAGUGUUCUGACUACACCGUCAAACAUCUUGAUGUUCACUGAUCCUCGUCCAAUAACUUUACAGGAUGCAUCAUUCACCAUCAAAACAAUUCCACAUUACUAGCUUCAAAAGUAGAAAACUAGUCCCUGUUGGGACACAUAUGGAACGAGCAUGCAGAAUCAAGGAUCCACUCUGUGCUGGCUCUGGAUUGAUCAUCGCAGACCAGUAGAACAUUCCCAUUACUACUGUAAUCUUCUACUGCAUUGGCUUUAGCAGAUUUUGAGCUAUCUUUUUUCUUUUGAUUAUCUCUUCCUUCGCUCUGUUCCUUUUUCUUCAACUUGAAACAGUCCACCUUAAUAUAGCCCUUCUUUUUACAAUAAUUGCAAAUCAAAUGCUUAUGCCUAGAUUUUGAUCUAGCCUUUUCUUUACUAUCACCAAAAUUUCUCUGCUUAGAUCUUCCUUUGAUAAACAGACUCUCUGCCUUAUGUUCAGUGGUACCACUCAUCUCCUUAUCAAUUCUUUCUUUCGAGAGGAGCACAGUUGAGAUAUCUUCCAAAGAGAUGGUAUCACGUCCAUAGUGUAUAGUAUCUCUAAAAUUUGUAUAGAAAGAUGGCAGAGAAUAUAAAAGCAGUGGCGCUAAAUCUUCAUCCUCAUACUUAACGUUCAUCAUCCCCAGAUCAGUAAUAAUUUUUCUAAAUUCAACAAGAUGGGUCUUAAUGCUUUUACCUUUUGCUAGAUGAUGAGAGUACAAUUUCUAAUUCAUAUGGAAUUUGUUGGUGAGACUUUUCGUCAUGCAUAACCACUCGAGUUUCAGCUAAAAGCUUGCAACGUUUUUCUCCUUGAUGACGUGUUGUAAGAUCUUAUUCGAAAGGUAUAGUUGGAUCUACGUAAAGCCCUUUUGAUUCAUCUUCAUCUUUUCCGCCAUACUGAGGGAUGCAGGCAUCUUUUCUAUCUAGAGUAGUGCAUUUUCUAGGUCCAUCUGAGCUCGGAUUGCGCAUAUCUUUACUUGUCAUAAUGUAAAUCUUGUGCUGUAGUCGAGUAGAAGGACGUCAUAUUUCAUGGAUGCCAUUGAUGAAGAGAACCCGAAUUGAUGAACUUAGGGCUCUGAUACCAAUUUUUUACGACAGGCAGACAAAUGAAAAUAAAAAAUGAUGAAUACAAAAUAAAGAAAUCACAAACAAAAAUAGAAGAAUACACAGAUUUACGUAGAAAACCCUUUGCAGGAAAAAACCACAGGGCGAGGGAGGGGAGAACUUGACUAUCAAAAAAAAAAAAACAAAGUUCGAAGUACUACAAUCAUUAGACAUUCAUUUUUUCUUUACAAAUUUAUUUUGAAAUUUUACACCGCAAAACUGUCGGCGAGUCGAAGUCCCAAACUGAAGUCGAUUAUCAAUUUCGAGUCACAUCUAACAAAUUGGACAGUAGAAUAUAGACUUAGUUCAUUCAUAACUUGGCCUACCGCUUGUUUGAAUGUUGGAGAACCUUUAUUGAUAAUUGAAGGACACGUGAAUCAAUCUAUACGAUACAGGAUUGAUCGUUUGCAAAGAAAAAGCAGUACAAUUAACUUCCUCCAAAAAAAAGGAUCAAAUCUUCUGCUACUACAGCAACUAAGGUAGACUCCUUUAUCUUUCGAUUCGUACCCUAAUUAACUAAAUUUGCAGGGCUACUGUGUUAUUAGGAGUACAGCAGCCCUUGUGCUCCUAACUUUCUAACCUCCCAUCAAUUUUGAUGGAGGCUUAGAAUGAGAGAGAGAAGAGAAAUUGGGGAGAAAUUAGACAUCUCAAUUUCUCUUCUUUUUGAAUUUCUCUCCAAUUUCUCUUUUCUCUCUCAUCCUAACCACCCAUCAAAAUUGAUGCGUGGUUAGGAAGUUAAGAGCACAAGGACUGCUGUUCUCCUAAUAGCACAGUAGCCCUACUAUAUAUAUAUAUAGAACUAGGUAUAGAGAGAGAAUUGAGCUAGAAUACUAUCGAUAGCAAACGGACUCCGUUGUCACCCAUUUGUUUUCGAUGAUGGAGCCUCCAAAUCGACAAUCGGCACCAUUGAACAUGAUCUAUACCACUUGAAGUAUGUAGAAACCAAAUUUUAAAUCUUUUCGACAUUAUUAACCUAAUGAUCAAAGGGUUUCAAAAUUUAUAAUUUUAAUGGUCGAUAUGAGGCAUUUUCUCGUUUAACGGUGUAAAGAUAUCCAAAUCAAUUGAAUUUUGGUUAUAAAUUUUUUAAACUAUUUAGAACAAGAUCUAUAUUCUCGAUCUCGAUUAUAAGAUUCCUAUCAUCACUUUUUAAAGAAUAUAUAUUCAUUUUCAGCCGUUCAUUUUGUGUCCACUUGAUGGAGAAGAGAGCAAUAUCGGAAAAGUAUGAAAUUUGAUUUCUAGAUGUUUCAAGUGGUAUAGAUCAUGUUCAACAGUGGUGAUUGUCGAUUUGGAGGCUCCAUCACCAAAAACAAAUAGGUCUCGUUUGCUAUCGAUAGCAUUCUAGCUCAACUAUAUAUAUAUAUAUAUAUACAUAUAAUACUAUGUUUCACAAGUUUUUUAUCUCUUGACACUUAAAAGAUCCUUUUGACUAAUUCGCUUUUGGCAUUGUGCAGAACAAAAUAUUCAUAUUCUUACUCUUUUUUUUUCAAAAAAAAUAUGCAAAUCAUUUUUUUUUUUUGGAGAGAGAAAAAAUAUACGUACAGCGUAUUCAAUUAUAGAUUUCAGUGUUAUAGACUAUCGGUAGACUGAUCCUUUCUUAUAUAUGUCCAUUAGACAAUGUUCCUUUAUUUUCCCUUAAUACACUUUUUUUGAACUACGACGCAUUCUAUUUAAUUACUUAUACCAGCCACCGUGAUAUAGUUACCCAAAAGAUCUAUAUGGUAGAAAAACAACCUAGAAAUAAAUAUAUUCAAUGUGUAUAUUGCAUGAGACUAUCCAAUCAUCCUAUGGCUCUUCAAUGCUGAGAAAAUUCAAUUCUUUCGAUAAUCGAAGUACACUUUUACUUUCUCAAUAUAUUCAUACAUUGUUACGGCUUAAUGCUGAUCAGUUAGGACCCCAACAACUCAAAUAGAUCACCAUUCUAAGCGAUUCCUCUCGAGCAGCUGUACGAUUGCUGUCGAACGGCUUGAAUGCACCCCUCGAGCUGCCGAUCGGAGAGCUCGGAAUGACUCUUGCCCCAGCCAUGACUCGAUCGAUUGCCGACGAGUAAUUAGGCUUAGCCACUUUAGCUUCGAGCUCAAGAAGGGCUGCACCCAAUGUAAGAGCUAUGCAUGCCUUGUUUACAAAUCUCAUCCUUAAUUUGUUUGUGGGGGGAGAGAGAGAGAGAGAGAGAGAGAGAGAGAGAGAGAGAGAGAGAGAGAGAAGAGGCCAAAUUAGGUGAAAGAGAUAUAAAGAAAAAGUGAUAAUCAAUUAGUUCAUAGCACUUGAAAAUAGAACAAGAUUGGUGGGUGUGAACCAGAGUACAUUUAGAUUAAUUUAGUGGGGACUUCUGAUUUGGAGCUGGUGGUUUGGGUAAAAGCCAAUGGUUUCAUCAUGUUGGAGGAAGAAACAGCUCUUGGGGAGAGACCAUUGAUUUCUCAAACUGGGCCAAUGAAUUACAUGUGGGAAAUUAAAAAGAAAGUAAAAAAUAAAAUAGCUAUUUCAUUCCUUAUCCAGUUUGAGUGGUCCUAGUUAGUUCUAUUUAGAGAUGUAAACGGGUCAGGUCCAAUCGAGUACAGAGUUUGAGAGAAAUAUUUUUUGACUCUUAAAAUUUUAGACCCAUAUAUGUAUAAUGCAGUAUGAAUCAUCCAACUUAUCAACCCACUGAAGAAAUUAAAUUAAUAUUUUACUAGCGAUAUCGAUGCGGCAGCUCAAUUAAAUUAAUUAAAAUGUAAAAAUAAAUAAAUUACUGACUAAUCUAUAUAUUGGAAUUAAUAUAGACAAGUCAAUUUUGCAGCAACAUUAAUUUGUGGGGAAAAUUUUAAGGCGCACCUAGCAAUACUCAUUAAGAAAAUGAGAAAGCCGGAGAAAAACAGUAUUUAGGAAUUAAUAAUAUGACCAAGUGUAAAAUGUAUUAUAGGAAGUAUGUAAAAAAGCAAGUGAACAAAAGCCAGAGGAUCUAGUAUAAAACUCGAGCAAUGUUCUACAUAUAUGCUUUACAUUAAAGGAUAUAUAUAUAUAUUACUAUAUACCUCAUUUAUCUAACGAUUUUAGAGUUAUUUCGCUAGUCGUAUAAUAUGAUUAGUAAAACAAUCCCACUGAUCCAACAGGUGAGGUGGAUGUAUUAGUAGCAUAUAUACUUUUAAAAAAAGCUCUCGAAUUUAAGAAUAGAAAGCAUGGGUCUAGCAAAUGGGUUUUCAUCAUUGUCUUCAUGUCUUGUCCUUAUGUUUUUCUUUUUUGUUUGUUUUGUUUUAUUUUUUGUCUUGUCCAAAACAUGAACAAGAGAAAUUAACUUGGUAUCUAUGCUUGAGUCAUCACUUGGCAUCUUGUUCGUUUGUCUUGUCGUAUAUAUGAUGAGUAGAGGGGUCCGAAUUUGGAAUCCACCGUUUCGAAUACUUUGGGCGAUUUCGAAGAGGAGAAUGGAUAGAAUUCCUUUUAGUAUUAAUUGUUUAGGAUCCAUUUGACACUUACAAUGGAAGAAGAGUAUUAUGCGUUACAUGUAAUUUAAUUACAAGUGCAUGAAAACAUAUUUAUAUAUUUCUAUAAAGAAUAGUAUAUACUUUAUUGUUUUAAUUUAUAGAUUGCACAAAGCAGUUAAAAUAUAAAAUUAUUUUAUAGGUCCACUAAGAAGCGGACAAGCAUAUUUCUGCACACUACGUACCUUUCUUAUUUAUUUUGGCCAAUCACAUUACACAACCCUCAAUACCAAUCUAUAUUAAAUAGGUUUGGUAGCAUUAUAUAUAUUGUGCGUAGCUUUUGAUUUUCUUUUUUUUUGGAUUUGGGAGAUUGCUCAACUCAAUGAAUAGAGGUUAGACAUCUAAUAAAUAGUAAGUCAAAAUUUGAGAUACGAGGAAAAGCUAAAAUGUGCUCCUACUAGGCUCAAGGCUCUAAACGUAAAAGUUACCUAUCAAAAAUUUGGAGGGUGAACUUUUAACUAAUCUCAAAAGUAUAUUGAUCUACCUUUCUUCUUAAUAGUCCUUGAUGCCAGCAUAUAUAGAGCUCUCUCAACUUUUAUUUUUGGGACAAUUUCCUGUGUGCCCCUCUAACAGUAUGUAUUUACAUGGAUGCCCCUAUAAAAGUUGAAAUAUCCUAAAUGCCUCUCAAAAUGUAAAAAACUUUCAAAAAUACCCUUCAAAACACAUUUUUGUUAAAAUCUACAGUAACAACAAUCAAAAUACCGAUUUUACCCUUUUCAUAAUUGCCCUUUUAAAUAUUCCAAUUAUUAGUAAUAAUUUUAACUUUUGUAAAUACCCCAUAAAUUUAAAAGUUUUACAAAUUUAAAAGUUAUUUAGUUAUAUUUUCACAUUGAUUUCUGUAAGAAUUAUAUAUUCUAAAAGAAUAAUAUUUUUAUCUUACUCAAUAUUAUUAAAUAUUUCUAAAUUUUUUUAAAAUGGAGAGAGAAAAUAAUAAAUAGCUGAAAAAUUACAAAGUUUUAUCAUUAAUUAUAAAGCAUAAAAUUACUUACUAGAUUUGAAAUUACAAUAAAACGAUUUAGCAUUGUUUACAAAUUUGUUUAAAAAAAACUCAGAUUAUCUGAUAAAUUUUAUAAUCAAGGUUAGAGGAAUGCAAAUAUACUAAAUAACAGUGUGAAUUGACUUUUAUUAAUAUUUUAAUAGUAUUUAAAUUGAAUACUUGUAUCUUUAUCUAAACUAAUUACUAGUGAGGGAUAGUUUUGAAAGUUUAUUUGUUGUACAUUUCAUCACAAUAAAGUGCUCUAUCAAAAUUUUAAAAAAAAUUCAGGAUAAAAUGAACAUUUUCACUAAUUCAUGAUAACCUAUCUAAAUUAAAUAGAUGUUUGGUAGGGAGAUAGAAAUUAACAACGAGAAUAUAUUUAUAAGAUAGUAUUUGUAAGGAUAUUUGUGAUAUAAUCAAAUUUAUAAGGAUAUUUAUAAUAUUUUGAACGUUUAGAGGGUAUGAAUGAAAUUAACUCUUCAUUAGUAAUAAUUGGAACAUUUAAAAGGGCAAUUAUGAAAAGGGCAAAAUCGGUAUUUUGAUUGUUGUUACUGUAGAUUUUAACAAAAAUAUGUUUUAAAGGGUAUUUUUGAAAGUUUUCUAUAUUUAGAGGGGCAUUUAGGAUAUUUUAAUUUUUAUAGGGGCAUUCGUGUAAAUACAUGCUUUUAGAGGGGCACACAUGAAAUUUUCCCUUUAUUUUUUAUAGUUCAAUACCUUCCUAACUUCUAAUUAUUUUGGGCAAACUAUUUUAUUCAAUUAGAUAAAAGAUUACAUUAAAUUUAAUAGCUCUGUCAACUAAUAGUCAUUAAUAGUAAUAAUUGUAUUUGGUAAAAAACUAACAAAAUUUUAGGUCAUUUGAACACUACAACAGAAUUAGGUUAUAGGGACACAUGUUUGAGACACUUUUGAGUAAGUGUCCUAUUUAUGCUAAAACUUAAAAACACAUCUACUAAUGUUUAAAUAUAAAGCCCAAUCCAACCAAAAAUAAAAGAUUACUCUACUCAACCGACCACACCCAGUCCAUUUGGCCCGAUUACAAGAAAAAAAAAAAAAAAAAAAGAAAAAUCAAUUAUCAUCUUUUCUUUUCUCUUCAUUCAAUCCACUGAAAUUCUAGACAAAGAGCUUUUACUGUCGUCCUCCUCCGCCACCGCAGCCAACAAGAUAGAGUUUCGACGGUUGCUAAAUGCUUAAAUAAGUGUUGGUAAAUUAGCAGCACUCUUUUAGGUUAUAGCGACACUCUUUAACUGUCACUAUAUACCUAGCGACCCCACAUAUAGCAAAAUUUUUUAAAAGUAUCGGUAAUUUUAGCUAGCAACACUUUUUUGACAUGUACUUACAUUUAAAAGUGUCGUUAUAGACUGUUUUUGUUGUAGUGGAAUGAAAUAAUAUUAAUAAAAUAAUUAGAAGUUAAGCCACUGCAAAUCAAAAAACUAAGGGUAAUAUAUUUUUCUAACGGUAAUUAAUUAUUUAGUCAAAAAAAUUUAAUUAGAUAAAUUUUGUUUAUUUGCUACUUUUAUGUAUUUACUUUGGCCUACGUACGUCACGAUCAAGUCCUAACUUUGUCCGCGCUCGUAAAUAUAUAAGAACACCAAAUUGAAUAUGUGACAAAGCUACAUUAUCGUAGUCCACUAUAUGUGGGAAUAAUUAAUAAAAGUUGUACACUUGUUGAACACCCAAAACACUAACAACAGGCCAAAACCAUGUCUAAGUUAGUUGUUAGAGAUAUCUAAGCGAACUAAUUUAUGGCAUUAAUUAAUGUCAUCGAUAAGUCUUCACAAAUCAUGUGAAAUUUCGUUUUCUUUCUUUCUUUCUUUCUUUCUUUUCUUAUACUGACCGUCAACUAUCGACUGACUAUUAUAACAUCAGAAAGACAGAAACCCAACCCGCUAGGCUACGUACACCUGUUAAUCCAAAGAUAAGAUCUUCAAGAGCCACAAAUAAUAAAUACAUAGUAGGGUUUAAACUUUUCAACCAUAAAAUUGGCACUUUGAUAUCUAAUCACUAGACUAUGGUAUUCUAAAGUUCCCUUUUCUAUAGAAAUCAAUACAAAUUCAGUGGAAGCAGCAUUUUCUUUUAUAAAAUUAAAAUUCUCAAGGCAAGAUGUAUUAGUUAAUUAAGCCUUAAUAUUUGGGACUUCACACUACAACAAAAUUAGGUUAUAGGGACACAUGUCUGGAACACUUUUGAGUAAGUGUCUGUAAGGACUGAGAUUUUUACAGUGCAACUAAACUCUCUGUUGAUGAUAUUUAUGUGUGUAAUUUAAUUAUAUAAGCACUCGUCAAGUUUCAGGAGAAAAUGAGCUAAAAUGGAGAAGUUACGCGAUUAUUAGUUUUCACUUAACUGAAUAGUAACUCCAGUUUUCCGGAGAAGCCACGGAGUAGAGUUGGCUUUCGGCGCGUAUCGGACUCCGUUCAUAGUGAUCCAAUAGCUCGUUUUGAACGGUUCAGCUAUUCUGGAACCAAUGGCACUGACGGAUUUUAGAUCUGAUGCACGGAGUUUCGAAGAAAAAGUUUUUCGAAAUGGUUUUCGUCUUGCUUAUUACGUUCAUUUUAAGUCUCGUACUCUGUUGAAUGACUAAGUUGAGGAGGAGUUUUAUAUCCUACUGGUGGUAGAGCCCAAAUUGAAUUGAGUUAAGGUUUUAGGGUUUAUACCUUGGUUAUUGUCAUAUACGGAGUUAAUUGAUGAGCGAUAGUGUUCGGACUAAGUGAUGGAGACUAAAUCGACAAAGAAUGCCUAGAUUCGAUGCCCGACGUGCUGAAUCGCGCCAUGGAGCCAUCCUUUCGGCGAUCAACGGACGGAUCGUCUGGGAAUCGUGAAAAAGUCUGAGGAGGUAUUUUUGGCAUCAAAUUAAUCGCCGGGAAAGCCCAAUUAUCGCACGUUUUGCGAGAUUUGAUACCUGACGGUCCUACGGUAUUUUAUUGCAGGGACAGGACUGUUCGAUAAUAUUGAUACGGUAGGCAAAGUGCAAAUGACAUUGUUAUUAUUUGACUAGGAAGUUAACAUGGAACCAUAACCUAAUCUCAACCCUUGCCUCCCUGUGACACCUAGCCGCCCUAGGAGGCCCCUCCACGCCGUGCUUACCCCGAGCCCGCGCCGCCCGUCCGGAAAAGGCUUCUAACUUCCAUCUCAUCCAUCCUUCCCUCUAUCUCUCUUUCUCUCGUUGGAUCCCAGGCAGCUACAUGGCCUUCGAACCGGCGUGCCCGUGCCUCGGAACUGUCCCCGCGACCGCCGCCGUCGCGUGCGCGCGCAUGCCGUGCGGCCGCAGGCCAAGCUCAGCCUGGACAGAUCUAGGCCGAGUUGAUGCCCGCAGCGCUCUCGCGCAUCGCGCGGCCCACGCUCUGGGGCGCACCCUCCCUACGACCUCGGCGUCGGUCGGCGCCUUUCCGCCGGCCUUCGCAUGUGGUGCCGCCAGAACUCGCCGCAGCGCCCGACGGAUGCGGGCUUGUGCUUCGGGGCAUCUCUGUCUCGCGCGUCGCCGCUGACUCUCGACAGGCCACGCCGCCCGAAAGACUCCAGCAAUCCUCCGCUCCGCGCGGUUCGACGCCGCCGGCGCGGACCGGUUCUCCUGCGCGCCAACCUCGUAGCGGGCUGGGACCGAGCCUCUCGCUUCGAGCUUAGUUCGCCGGCCAAGUCGGCGCGCCCGCUCCCUCGACCCGGCUCGUUCCAACGCCCGACCAGCCCUUCCGCCGCGUCGCCUGCGGAACUGUUGGAAGCACCAAACGCAGGGAGUGGCGAGCUCCGUUACUCGCCGCAGCACUCGGCCGCCCUGCGCGGUGACGUGGAGUGCCCCGGGCCCAUAUGUGUGUCCUCCCGCGGAGCGCGCGGAAUACGCGGCGAGCAACCCUAGCUACCUUCAUGGGUGUCCAUUUUGCAGCAGCACUGUUUCCACUUUCGGUAGCUUAUUCCGGGCAUCCGUAUGGUCUUUUGACUCGGAACGUGAGCACGAUGAUCCUUAGUCAUGAUACAUCGUACGUCUUCCGUCGAGCCUAUGAGAUGCCUUGUGCGCGCCGGCACCUGCGAUCUUCCUGCGGCUGCAUCGCUGCUUCGUGAUUUCGCGUCCUUCUGGCGACUGCAGUCGUGACGAAUGUGCUCCGAAAUGGUGCAGCACCGGAGUCGGCACGCUGAUUGAAACCUAUCACCUGAGUACGACGGUUGACCAGCGAACUUCGUAUCGGGAGUCGGCGCCUAUAGAAACAUGUCGGAGAAAUCGCAUAAAUGUAGAUAUUAGGGCUCAUGAUGUAGUUUCUGCUAUUAUUAACUUCCGACAUCCGGGUCACUUAUGACAGCGUAGUAACGCUGAGCGGUAACUCCUGGACGAUACGUCCAAGCCCAGCACUCCGAGAUGAAAAAUCCAUCUUUCGGGGCGUUUCGUGUGUGCAAUUCUGUUACGAAUCAAGAUCUUAGUUCGGUUCUUUAGCGACGAGUGCCUCGGAUAGCUAUGUGAGUCGCUUAAGUCUUUCUUGGCAGGUAGCCUGUGCGUUUCGCGGGUUUGGAAACGACGGACGUGAGCACUGAGCUGGAGUCACGGUGUCAAAAACGCACUUUGCGGUAACGGUUCAGACGUUUUUAGGUCACGAUGUCGGGCGCAAACAGUUCGAGGCGAAGAUUGAGUGUCUGCUACCAAUGUGUUCAACUAUAGAGUUUAUUAGUGACAGCGCCGACUCCAGUGAGUUGGGGUUUCCGUACAAUUAGUGACACCCGGCGAAGUCCGGUUUAUAUUUCGGAACCGAUGUGAUCGAGCAAUCGCGUUUGGGAACGAUUCCUGUGUUACUUGGUCACUUUGGAUUUUAUAUUAUUGAUUAAUUAGGGUUAAUCCUUUACUAGUGGACCCUUCAAUGUCGGUUUGCAUCUUGGUCCCGGCAUCGUGAGAUUGAUCCAAUGUACAGGUGGUACUGUCGACGUUGGUACAGUGGUUCACGCUCGGGAUAUGGUUUCUUACCUUGCUCUUGUUAUGUUCCAUCAUUAGUGUUUAUAUGAUUGAGCCUUGACCGCCUCUAUUGUUGCAUUACACCACGUUGUUGAUUUAUAUUCUACUAGAUGUUUCCAUGUUAGUAUCUUGUGUAGAGGUAAUAGUCUAAUCGUAUUGAUACCAUGUCUCUUGUUGCAUCUACUUAAUAUUCUGCAUACCCUGUUAUAUUUAUAGUUAGAGUGAUUCGUGAUUAUUGUGAGAUUAGCGAUUAGUCGGUCAUUCUAAUAUUCGUAAUUUGUGACAUAGUUUAGUCGAGUUAUAUAUACUUGUGACCUGGAUGAUGGUUCGAUUUGGUUAUUGAUGACCACAUAGCCGGAUUCGAUGGCCCUGGGGGGCAGGAUGUGGCUGCGUUGCCGCGGCUUGAUCAUUGGAUAUUGCAUUGAUUUGCCAGAUAAUCUCGUGCAUUCGCAACAACUGCAUGUCUGAUCCACGAAAGAGUUCUUUUCCGAAAGUGUGUUGAAUGUUGACAACCGUGAGCCCUAUAGCGGUUAGUUGCACAUCUAGGCGCCAGUGUCUUCGGAGGUGUUGCUCGCGACUCCAGAGAUUGAUUUGAGGCUCUCGGUGUUGACCAGAGAUAACUUGGUUUCGAUUGAGUACUUUUGGACUAUUGUCCCAUUGAGCAAUAAUAUAGUAACAGUCGAUUGCAUGCAUAGUUACAUUCUUUCUAUAACUGUUUUGCUAUAUAUUUUGUUACCAGUAUGUUUAAUAUUCAUGUAUUACUUUCUGUUCCAUCAGUAGCGGUAAUCCAUUAUUCAAUUAGUUUUACUCUCUUUCAGUUUAUUAUCUACCGUAUCAGUUACUCUCACUACUUUAUUGUUGUUGCUACUUAUAUUUCACUGAUCCCUUGUUUUGUAUAGCCUUUCCUGAAUCCAGGUGAUAUCCUCGCUUCUUCGGCUUCUAACCGGUAUACACUGGAGGGGAGAAUGUUUACAUGUUCUCACCUCCCCCUCAUUUUUCAGGUUAUCGGCGGGCGAUGAUGUGGGACGAACGUGAGGUAGGUGUAUGCGGUCGAUACUUCACCAGUUUUUCGUAUAGUUAUUACUUAUUAUUGUCAUGUUGAUCUAGCCUUAUAUAGUUAUGCUUCAGGUAUUUUUAUUAAUUUGAAUAUUAUUUUCUGUGAAUGUAAAAAUGGAUUUCUGGAAUUUUGAUUAAAAGGUUUUGUACCCCAUCUAGUAUAGAGUUUUUAAAGAAUAAAGAUUUUCGUAUAGAAAAUAUUUUCAAAAGGUUCUCUUUGUGGAUUUUGCAUCUUAUAUUCAAAACUCAGUUUCUGUGUUGGAAAAUAGUAAUCUGAUAGAUGUGGAUUUAUGUUUAAUAUCGAAUAUAUAAGUGAAACCUCGCUUGAUGUGAAUGGGUAUGAAUAUUAUAAUGUUGGUUUAUUUGUAUGUUCUAUUAGAUUGUGUGGUACUGGUUACUUCUUUGUACUUGACUGUGAUCGCGUGCAAAUUACGGGAACUCUGUAGUCAAAUAACAGUGGAUUCUCUUGUUUGUGAGACGAGUCUCGGCAUACUCUCAUGGGUCAGGCAAUUUCAAAAAAGAAAAAAAAAAUUAUACGCUUUUCGCUAUGUGUUUAAAAAAAGGCACCCUGGGGCUGACACCUGGCACACUCUAGGGGGUCAGAUUUACAAAAAAAAAAUUUUCGGACGCUUAUGUCCUCUACCAUUUUAAUUAAAGGACCCGGGGAGUCCUGUGACUCCACAAAUUCCAGGGGUCACCAUGCUAAUACUCUCGCCAAGCACGCUUAAAUGCGAGAGUUCGGAUGCGAUGGUGUUCUCACAAUCUCCCCUCCUUUAAGCCCUGACGUCCUCGUCAGGCUCAGACUCACAAGUACCAGGCGAUGUGAGAAUCGUCUCGCUAGCCCGUCAUCCAGACCCUGGCUCAGCCGAGACUCAUCUGACACUUCCGGCUGGUAAUUGGCUCUGAUACCAUCUGUGACGCCCCAACUUCCCAGAGGGUCAUCCAUCCUAGAACUACUCUCGUUCUAGCACGCUUAACUCUCUUAACCUCUUGGGCCUUGCCACCACCCAAAAUGCUUAAGCCGGGUUAAGAGUUUAGCUCUAUUAUAUCUCAUAUAUAGGACUAUCUGGGGUCUCACAAACCCCUUGCUACUUCUUCCUCGUCGAUUCCGCGAAACCCAUGCUUCCGAAUCUAGCUUCUCAUCUAAACUAAUUGCAAUCAAAGAAUUUUAAAAACAAAAAAAAAAUUACGGUAAAAUUAAUUUUAGUUUACUCAUCUAAACUAAUUGCAAUCAAAGAAUUUUAAAAACAAAAAAAUAAAAAUUUAUUUCAAUACAUUAAUGUGAGAGUAUUUUUGUCUUUUUUCUCUCUUUACCAACCACUAUCGUUUUUAUCCCACCUACUCCAACCAAACACUAUUUUUCACUAUCCUGCACUAACUCUAACCCCCAACCAAACACAAAAAAACUUUAAUCCCACCUUAACCCUGAACUUAACCCUAUCCCUGGAAUAACUAAUUUUUCCUUAACCCCGAACU
rnacentral:lncRNA from 1 species